GGAGGGAGGGGUAGAGGAAGGGAGAAAGGGCAGGGGAGGGAAGGCCGGCAACGUUGAUGAGCGGCGCCGGCGACGUUGAUGAGCGGCGCUGGCGACGUUUAUGAGUGGCUGCCUAUGACAGCUGCUAGUGGCGGUUACAGGGAGAGGGGAGGAAGAACUAGGCUCUGGUACCAUGUUGGAGAGUGAAACCCCAACCCUAAUUUAGGGUUGGGUGUAUAUUGUAUAGACGAGUUAGGUGGGCCAAGCCCAUUACAAGAGAACCCUAACCUAACCCUAGACAAGAUUCUAACAUAUAUAUGCACUAUGGUUGUGCACCAUUUCAAAAAUUUUGAGAAUUUCUAGGUAUGUGUUUCAAGGGAUUUUUCAUGAUUGCAUUGCACCAGACAGGGCGGUUGGCACUUUGCACCAAAUAUUUGGCCUAUUUUUCAUUCCUUCAAUCUAAACAGGUCACACAGCUAAUGAAUGGAUUGCUAAAACAGUUAAACAAGCUUAGGAUACAAUGAAUCUUACAGUAUCAUUGUCCUGUUAGCUCCUAAUACAGGCAACACGGAUACAUGUAUGAUCUUACCUGGAAUAGUUUCCUAAGUAUAUUAAAUCUGCUUAACUACCCUAGAGCUUAGAAGGUCUUAAUGGUUAUUCAGCUGAGUCUUACUUAAGGCCCAAUCUGAAAAAAGGGAACUGACACAGGAAUUGUGAAGAGAAUACACUGCCUGCAACAUUCGUCUGUUCCCAACAGACCUAAAAAGAAGCUUGGAGGUUCGGAUAUCACAUCUAUGUUGUUCAAUAUCUCUAUGAAAAUAUUGGCUGUUGAAUCAGUUAUUUUUUCUGGGAGUUGAUUUAAUAGUUCUACUCAUUCCCACAAGCUUGUUGGGUAUUGAAUUGAGUUACUAAUUUGUUUGUCUUUCCUUGAAUUCCUACCUGAUUAAAGAAAAUCACUAGUGGUGCCACUCCCUCUAAAAGGAUGUACUUUGUACUACAUGCUGUAUGUAGCUUGUCUAAAUAAGUUGAUAUCAUAAUCUCCAUAAGGAGUUAGGGACAUGUGAUUUACUGACUGCAACAUGUAUCUCUUACAGGCUGAUGAUUAUCUGAGUAGUCUCUCUAUCAAAGCACUUCCAGGCAUUGGUCAUACAGUUUCAUCUAAACUGAAAAGCAAAGAAAUUGAAUAUUGUAGUCAACUUCGCAAUGUUUCAAAGGUUCGUCGGUGCUAUUUGUGUAGUGUAACAUGAAGCAGUCCCCUUUCCUCAUUGAAAGAAUUUUUUCCAGUCCUUCAUUUUACAAGUGUUACUGUGUUCCAGUCUCGACUUUAAAUGCCAUUUACUAAUGCAGAAUAAAAUCCUUCUGUUUAGAAGUCAUAAGCACAUCGUCUAGGUUGUCUACUGUGUGAUGGUCACGUAAUGCCAACUACAUUCUUUAGGAUUAUAUACAAUUUCUUGUCUAGAUGAAUAUUGAUGUGGUUUCUCACCUAUCUCCUUCCAAAUAUGGUUAUUACAUCUUAGUGCUUUUGUAGGAUGCCCUCCACAAGGAUUUCGGAAAAAAGACUGGUGAUCUUUUAUGGAAUUAUUGUAGAGGAAUUGAUCAUUCAAUUGUUGGAUCUGUUCAGGUAGAAAAAAGAGCAUCCCAGCCAUUGCUUCAGUUGUUUUUUUUAUCGAACGCGCAGGAGAACUGCGCAUGUUAUAUAUUAGAGAGGAAUAGAAGCCUUACAAAAAAGGAGAUGUUGCUGAGCAAAUCUCCCAAGGACCCUACAUAUACCCGAAGGUAAUUACAAAUUGGUACCGUAACUUGACCCGACCUCGCCCAGAGCUGCAACUAAGCCAAGGCUCUCAAUCUCCUUAGCUCCUGCUAUUGCCCAGCUAACACACUCAUCAGUUGUGAGUGCCUGUGUCUAUUUUGUUUUACUGAAAAUUGUGCUCAACUGGUGUAUGGGAUGUAAAUACCUGGAGCAGGCAGCUCUGCUGAUCUGUUCAUGCUCCAAAGAACAUCUAAGAAAUAGAUUCAGAAAUAACAAUUUGAACAGUCCAGUUUUAGUCAAGCAUUUGGGUUGCUUUCAAGGUGAUUGGCAAAAUCAGAAGACGGUUCCUGUGGAGAGGAAGGAAAUAAGUUAUGGGAGGGCAUUGUUUAGUGGCUUUGAGCAAGGUUACUAGACCAAAAGAAUUGGGAGGUUUGGGCAUCUCACACCUGCAGAAAAUGAGUUGGGCCCUUAGAUUACGCUGGCUCUGGUUGCAAAAAGCUGAACCUGGCCGGCCAUGGGCAUCCUUUAAACUAAAUGUUCAUCCUUCGGUUAUGGCCUUCUUCUAUGCAGCGGUUUCUUCGGUGGUGGACAACGGUACGAACACCUUGUUUUGGACAGAUAAAUGAAUUGAUGGCCUGAGUCUUUGUCAGCUGGCCCUCAUCUGGUCAAGUUGGUUUUCUCUAGGGCCAAAAAGAGAAGUGUCCAUGAUGCUCUCACUUCGAGGAACUGGGUGCAUGACAUAAGAAGUGUUAUCACUGUAAAUGUUUUAUCUGAUUUUCUCAAAGUUUGGGACCUCACUGCAGACUGGGCCCUGCAGCCGGACCAGGAGGAUAAACAUAUAUGGAUGCUUUCAAGCUCAGGAAUCUACUCUGCCAAAUCGGCAUACAACAGUCUCUUCCUUGGAGCAACAACUUUUAAACCUUGGGGAGGAUCUGGAAAUGUUGGGCACCUGGAAAAUGUAAGUUCUUCAUGUGGCUCACAGUCGUUGCUGGACAGCUGACCGUCUGGCGGAAAAAGGGUUACCUCACCCUCAAAACUGUUUGCUAUGUGAUCAGGAGGAGGAGACCUUGAACCAUUUGUUAGUCUCCUGCGUUUUCUCUCGGGAAGUUUGGUUUCAGAUUAUGAGAUUUGUUGGGCUGCAACACCUUGCUCCUGGCCAUGAGAAUUCUUCUUUUGAGGAUUGGUGGGAAGGAGUUACCUUUUCUACUGUUGGACCAGCAUACAAGGGGCUGCAUAAGGGUCUGAAUUCCCUGAACAUUCUUGGAGCUUGGGCUAUCUGGAAUCACCGCAACCGCUGUGUUUUAAACGGUGUCCAGCCUUGUACUAACUUGGUAAUCAAUUGGGUCAAUGAGGAGUCUCAUCUUUGGUGUAGGGCUGAAGCCCGUGGAUUAUCUAACAUCCUAGCGCUCCAGCACACCAAUCGGUGACCUCUGGUUUGGGGUCUUCAAGGUCACGGGUCUAGCUGCCUAUUUUUGUAAAUCUGCAUCUAUUAUAGAGUGUGUGGGUUUUGCGUGGAGUUGUAUGAGGUUCUCUUUUUACCUCAUCUUUUCUUCUUAAUAUAAUGAUACACAGCUCUCCUGCGUUUUCGAAUACACAUACAAACUGCGGCCAGGUGGGAAAGUUUUGGUAAUCGCCGAGGAAAAAAGUGUGGGAAUGAGGAUUUGAACACCUGACUUCUCUUUUAGGUAGGAGAGCACCAGGACCAACUGUUCAGCAUGGUUGGUUGUGCACAUAUGUAGACUACAUCCUUUAUGCAGGAUGAAGGUACUAAAAGAGUGAUGAUGGUAUAGAGGGACACCUGCGGUUCAUUCAUUCAUUGGGAACUGCAGGUUGGGCUAGUGAGUCUAUUUUCUCUUUUGUGAAUAUAUAAUAAUUUGGGAUCUUGUAGUUCCAUAUUAGUUCUGUUUUCAGGUUGAAGAAUUAGGCAUUUCAUCCUUUGUGUAUUGCUGGCUCAUUAGUUGAGCAUAUCUUGAAAGAACUAUAUUCUCCUUUCCCUUUUAAAAACUCAACCCGCGGGGGUAAGACCGUCCCACGACAUUACAAUUAAGAAGACCACAUGCAAGUCGAGAAAAUCCCCGAAUGUCUGCUCCACCCAUACACAACGGUAUCGUAGCUCAUGUGAGAACGACCGCGGCCGGGGUCCCAGGACAUUACAAUUAAGAAUACCUCAUGCAAGUCGAGAAAACCCCCCGAAUCUCUGCUCCACCCAUACACAACGGUAUCGUAGCUCAUGUGAGAACGACAUGUGAGAAUGACCGCGACUGGGGCGGGACCUUAGACCUAUGCUUUGGCAUGGGAUAGACGAGGGAUUUUUUUUUUAACUCAAGCCUGAAUUUCGCUCCACGGGGAGUCGAACUCAGGCCUGAGGAGUGCUACUUAUACCACUUAACCAACUUAGCCAAAUACCCUCUCACUCCUUUCCCCUUAUGAUGGUAUUAAAUUUUAAAUUGACUGAAUAUGCUUCUGUGUACUUGGGACUCCAGCAUUAAUGUGAAGGGUAUUUGUUUGUUGUUAUAAUAUUUAACUUUUUGUUCUAACAUCUUGCCCAACCCUUUGGAAGGAAAUAUGGUGAUAAUAAGUUUAGUGAUAUUAAUUAGUUGCUCUACUAAAGUAUUGUCCUCUGCACACAAUGCAGGAAACAAAAUCUGUGGGUGCCGAAAUUAACUGGGGAGUCAGAUUUAAUGACAACAAAGAUGUGGGUCCUUUCUGUUUCUCUGUUCUAUAUCAUUGCAGCACUAUGCUGUUUCAUGUUUGAUUUGAUCACUUUUAUGUUGGUUGCAGGCCGAACAUUUUCUUAACAACCUUUGCAAGGAGGUUUCUCUACGCUUGCAGGGUUGUGGAGUUCAGGGACGUACUAUUACCCUUAAGGUUGUUUCUAUUGACUAUACACACUUUUCUUUCACUCAUCUAUACAGUAAAUAGUUAAGUAUCAACUGAAUGUUUGCGACUUUGCGUUGAAGGUGAAAACAAGAAGGGAAGGUGCUGGGGAACCAAUAAAAUAUAUGGGAUGUGGUGACUGUGAAACCACGAGUCGUUCUAUGACGGUAUGGGGUUCACUGGCGCAUAUGAAUACAUUCUAUUUUUUUUACGGGAACACAAUAAUACCAUAUCAUUAGCGUUUUUUGUAGUUUAAUUAUUAUUGUAUGUAAUUGUGAUGAUGCAUAAGCUAAGUGUUUGUCCAAUAUUGUGAUUUAUGAUUAUAUGAAGUGCACAUUCUUAUAUGCAUUAUUUGCUUCUAAAUUUCCAUGAUGCAAAAAUGUGAUAUGUUACCAGGUGCAUUGUGCAUUCUUUUGAUUUCUAAUCUUUACUACUCUGUACUGUCUCAAAGAUUGCAGGUGCAACUGACAGUUUUGUCACUCUCCAGAGAAUUGCAAAACAAUUAUUUUCAGCUCUUCAUCUUGGUAAAUUCAACAUUUUUUUCCAUGUCUUAUAAUCUUAUAUGCACCCUAUGUGUUGUAGACCUUUAAUGAAAAUUCUAUCAUUAUUAUGUUGAUGACUACAUUAAGUUGCAUGCACCAACUAAUUCAAGAGGUGGACAAUUCAGUUAUAUUCCAACACCCCCUCACAUCGAGGCUCUGUGUGGCUCAGACGUGAAAUAGGAGCGAACAACCGUUAUUUUUAUUUAAUUAUGCUGACCAGGAUUUGAACUCGAGACCUUUGGCUUUGAUAACCGUUUUCAGAUCGUUCGACUAAUCACGAUUAGUCACGAUUAAUCGGGUUGAUCGGUACUCAGUGCUCGAUAAGGGGGUUUGAUUCGAUCAGGUGAUUUGAUCGUCCAUAUCGUCUGACUAGUCGGUGAUAUGUAGCGAUUAGUCGUCUGGUUAGCGAUCAGUCGCGUUAAUUACUCAGGUUCAGACUUCAGUUCAAAGUUUCAAACUUCAGUUAAGACUCCAGACUUCAGUUGUAUGAUGAUCUCAUAUAGGUGUUGCCUUCUUGGUCAUGGUCUAGUAAGUUGUAGAAUUGCAGUUUCAUAGUUUCAUAUAGACUUGUUGCUGGAGAUGUACUGCUGUUUUGGACUAUUCAAGUAUUCAUACUGCUGUUUUGGACUAUUUAUACUACUUCCUUGUCUAUACUUGUGCUUGUCUUGAGCAAGUCUCUAUGCUAUAUAAGUAUAUAUCUAUAUAUAGUGUUAUAUAUAUCCUGAAAAUACAUAGGACGACCAGGGACUACUAAUCGCCCUGAUCAUCCUCUAAUCACGACUAAUCGUCUGAUCGCCCAGUGGCAUCGAUCAGACGAUCAGGAAACAAUGUUGAUAACAUAUUAAGUUAUAUGCACCAACCAGCUUAACCCAAAAGCUCCAUAUUAAGUUGCAUGCAUCAAUUAGUUCAAACCCAAAAGAUUAAGCUGAUAGGAAGAGAGGUGAACAAUUCACUUAUUCCAAAAGACUAAAUUGUGCAAUCUCACAUUCCAGAUGUGAAGGAAGUUCGUGGAAUUGGACUGUCACUAUCAAAGCUUGAGCAUGCAGAUUUGGGCCGGGGAGGUAUCUUUAGCUAUUUGGAUUCUUUCUUUUUCCUUAUAUUUUUUAUCCCUGUUUGGUUUGGUGUAAAGAUUCCUUUUGGAUUUCAAUAAUGGAUGUGAUAACCAAGCAACAUUGUUUCUAUAAAAUAAUAAAAGGUGUGAUCUUUGUGCAUUUUCAUCUGAUUAUAGGCAUCUCAGAGCAAAGUAUGUCUUAAAACUUAACUGUAACAACAGAUUAAUCUGAAAGCUAUGUCUAAGGUGCACUACUGUCUAUUGUUUGUAGAUGCUUCAGUUAUACUGUUAAGACCGUUGCUAGCUGAAGGAAAUGUUACUUUUAGGAAAGAGCAGCGUCUUGAAUAUUGACAGCAACUUAGCAUUUGAUCCCUGGACAUUUGAUGGAACCUAGAUAUGUAUAUGCUAGAUCCUAGAACCACUGCAAUACCCCAUGAUCCCAUCACAUGUCAGUAUGUCACAUGUUAUAAAGGAAACAUAACGCUUUGUGGCAUUUUUCUUUUCUUAUAAAGGAAACAUUAGUUUAAUAUUGCCUGAAAUAAAAUAAUAUCAAAAGACACAUAUGCUAUAUAUUGGUUUAACAAGUCAACAGUUCUUACAAUUUACUUAUUGGCCCUUUGGUUCUCAAGUGCUUCCAUACUAAAAUGAUAUUUAAUAAGAAAGUAUGUCGACAACAAGGAAGAACUACCCUCCCUAAGUAAGGCAGUAGAUAUUCCCUUCCCCCUUCCAAAAAAAUAAAAAAUAAAAAAAAAUCUUCAUAGCUGCCUCUGCUUCUGUUUCUGGCACUUGACAUAUUUUGUAUGAACUUAGUUCCUUGAUCCUAAUGGUUCUUAUUUUCCAAUGAAGCAUCGCAAGGACAUAUGCUUGAAUCGUGGCUUGCUUCACCAGCCGCCAAGCUCAAGAAACAGCAGAGUGAGAUACUGGGGAAUGUUAAUGUUGCAGGUAUUGGGCAACUGCUGCUAUCAUGUGAAGCUAUAUUUCGCAGUGGUGGGAACGUAUCUCGUGCUCAUAGGGGUACCGUGCUCACAUGCACAUUUUAAAUCUGAUGCGUUCAUCUUGAAUCUAAUAGUAGCAUCACUUUUAUGAAGGGAGGUGGAAGGGGUUCUUUAUAAAAUUGCUGCUGCUGUUAGAUACGAGAUGGACGUACCGGAUUUAAAAUGUGCAUGUGAGCACGGUAACCCCUAUGUUCAUUGUGUUUUGUUCGAUGGGAAUUGAUUGUUUGGAGCUUCAUUAGGGACCAGCGGACUGAAGGAUUUGAGAUCUGGACCAUCACAUACAGCAGAAGCGAACCUUAGAAAUGAUAGGUCUACUGUAUUUCACAAUGUCGAGCUGCCUCCGUUGUCCCAACUUGAUUUGGAGGUCCUGAAGAACCUUCCCCCAGAGAUAAUGUCUGAAAUGAAUGAAAUGUACAAGGGAGAAUUACAAAGUCUUGUGGACACCCUCAAUAGUGACAAGGGCAAGGAAAAUAGUUCAAAAUCUCUUGCUUUGCCUGCAGUUAUUCGUAAGUCUGUACCUGCCGAUGCAAAGCUUCAAGGAUACAGAGACCACAGAGACUCCAUGCAUUUGGAGGAGGAACAUACUAAGGUGAGCUGUGUCACUGGAAAUAAAGUGGCGCUGGAACUUUUUAAACAAAGUGCAAGCACGUGAUUUAGUUGCUGUCACCUCCUCAUCUUGAUAUUUGGAAGUUGGAACCUGUUUCACACUAUUCUAAUUUUACCUUUACACCCGUAGGGAAAAUCUGACAAACAACUAUCAGAAGCUAAACCAGCCAAUAAUGCUUCAUGCUCAAGAGUUAGUGCAUCAAUUGAGAAAACAACAAAAAGUGUUACACAACUUGAUUUGAUGCCUGAUUCGCUAAGCCAGGCAGAUCUAACAGUUCUGCAGGAAUUACCUGAGGAUGUGAAGGCUGAUUUGUUUAGUGCACUUCCACUGCAUAGAUCAGGAGAUCCUGCAUGCAGCACUUCCAAUGUAUCUGAAAGUAAAUCACCUAAUGUGGUUAGAGCUGAAAAUAGAUCUUCUAAUGAUGGUGGAACUGAUGAUCUGAAAACCCCAAGGUCUUUUCUCCCACCAGGAAGUUCUCAAAAAUGGAUCGAACAGUUUAGAGUUAGCAGUUGCCUGAUUUUGAACGUAAUUGCAGAGCAACACACAGAUUCCAGCUGUCAACGACCAUUGUCUUCUGUUCUAGAGCCUGUAGCUUCGUUCCUACCUUUGUGUCCUAACCCAGGUAGUGAAGAAUGGAAUGAAACUCAUUCAUGUCUCUCCGAGCUUCUUAGACACUACAUACAACUGAAAGUUGAAUAUGAUAUUGAAGAGCUCUACAAAUGUUUUUGCCUUUUGAAAAGGUAAGAACCAUUAGAUAGAAAGCUGUUUCUUGCGAUCAAAAUCUCAAUAGUUGCAUUCACCAAACCAAUAAAUAUGUUGUGUCAUGAUGAAAAUAUUUUGUUCUAUUGGUUCCAGAUUCUCGUCAGCAUCAGAGUUUUUUCUGGAUCUACAUGAUAGCAUCCUUCCUUUCCUACAGGUAAAAUUCUACACAUCUAGUUACUCUUUGUUGUGCCUGUAUGUAUAGCUUGUUGCAUUUCUAUACCUUUGCACCCUGCUAUUUCGUUUCACCUACUUCAAGGCCUGUUUGGAUAAACCCAUCUCAAUACAUGUUGGUAGGAGUGGAAAUUUAGCUAUUUUGCACUUAUACUCCUCCCAAUACAUGCUGAUGUCAUAGUUGAAGUUGGAACGGAAACCCUAACCCUAUCAGGGUUGGGAGUGUAUAUAUAUAUAUAUAUAUAUAUAUAUAUAUAUAUAUAUAUAUAUAUAUAUAUAUAUAUAUAUAUAGCUGAGUGUUGUGGGUCAAGACCCAUUACAAUGGAGAUAUACACAGUAACGUAAACAUCACUCAACAGUUGAGAGCCGAUUUCAUGUUUACAUCUGUAAAAUUCCAGCUGUUCAUUCUGGAGGCCCUAUCCAUUUGUGUUCUCUGCCUCGUCAUCGGUUGAUCAACUUGGACAGGCUGGGGCCCUUCACCCUUGCCUCAUCUGACUAUUUGAAUACCGAAUUUGUUGUUUUUCUUCUCCCUCUGAUAAAAGCAAACAGUGAUCUACGUACACGAGACUUUUCUUGCUUUAUUAUUUGAUUGAUGGAAUACAUGAGAUUUUAUAUGGCAUCUACUGUGCAAUCAUCUUGUAGGAUUCUAUCAGCCAGCAUUACGGUGGGACACUGCAAUUCUAGCUCCUUGCUCAAGUUGUAGCCAUUCUAUUUUGCUAGAAAGGAAGAAGCAAUGCCGUGAAUGUGCGGAGAGACGUGUUAUGACAAUCUGCGCCUCCAAGCAGCUACUCAAAUCCCGUGCUGGCAGAUUCCUUGGACGCGUUUAUAACUUUAUUAUAACUAAUUGAUGCCAAUGCUGGAAGUUUUAUUGAUAUAUUCAUUGCAUCUAUGGAUCAAUAGAUGCCAUGUGGUUCGAUAUAUCAUUCGUGGAGCAAUGGUUUGAAGGGACCUUUGCUGUGCUUUGAUGUUCCCAGGCGAAUUUCAUGUUUGCUUCAUAACCCAUAUGAAUUUCAUGUUAUCUUUGUGUUGCUACCAAAAAGGUUCCUGGUUUGAAGUUCUUUGCGUCAAAUUUUCACCUAUGAUCUGAAGUACCAUCCGUGCAUCCUAGUUAUUGGAAGCUUUACAUGAGCUAAUAUAUGCAUUAUCUAGUGCCAUGGACCUCUGGUAGAAAUGCAACCAGUCUUUGAAAGCAAAUCACAAUCAGCAUAAAAUAAAGUAGCCCGUGGAAUAUGACCCACGACUGGCUUUGCAGUUUGUAGCGUAAACGACCCUCUAGUCUAGGCUCUAAUAAAACAUACUAGUAAUUUGUGCGCGCUUUGCGCGCAUAGAAAGUUAAGUGAUAAAAAAUUUAUGUCUUCGUAACUAAAUAAUUUAUACGUAGAACAACUCACCAAGAUCAUCAAAAAUAAAGAGUUGUACACCAAUUCAUCUGUAGGGACUUGAACAGGUGCACAGAGUUGUAGCAACUGGGUUGAGAUGGAAUUACCAUAAGAGCUAGUUUUGUGUGUUCGAACUUAUACCGUUAGGUUGUAUUUAUACAAAAUAUCUGCAAAAGGCUAAAUAGACAUUCAUACAUAAUGCAGAUUGUAUUUAUAUAAAAUGCAACUGUUCUUCCUUGCAUGAGGCUGCUGCUUCGUAAGGAAUACAGGAAGCUACUGCCACUGCUUCGUUUCUAAUAGGUUCUCAAUUUGGUACUACGAAGCAAGUAGCUGUUGCCUAACAAAUCCUUAGACAAUCUGAAUCAAGUAGUUGUUGUCAUAUUGGCUUGACAAAUCAGCAAGUAUUCUUGAUCCUUCAGAAAAUUAGUGAAUAGAAUAAAAGUAACAAAUCAGCAAGUAUACAUGUUUGGUGUUGGAUCCUUGAAACAAAUAUAACUUAACUGCAAAUAUCAAUCUUUUAAGGAGUACAGAGUAGAUUUAUCUUCUCUAUAUCCACCUUCAGCAAGAUAACUAUCACUGCUUUCAAUUGCCUUUGAUAAUGUUUUAUCUUGUUCGUCGAUGCUUAGCAACAAAUGGAUCUGUAAAGGUGAAGUAAAUUUUAGAUAAUUUUAAACACAAUGCUUUCCAACUAGAUAUGAGCGAACUCCUUUUCCAGCUAGAUAUGAACAAAGUGCUUUUCCAUUUAAUUCAAGGAUGUCAGAUUCACCUGAGCUGAGCAAGACACAAAACCAUACCUGACAUAGCAGAGUAGGACGCCUCACCUUUGUGUCACCGUAGGUUGAGAUAUAAACAAACUCCUUUUCCAGCUAGAUAUGAACAAACUCAUUUUACUUUUAAUUCAACUAUCUCAGAGCAGGACGCCUCACCGCCGUGUCACGGGAAGUUGAGGAAGAGACCAGUGGCACUUAGGUCGGCGAACCCAGCGCUGGCCCAGCAUGCACCUAGGUCGAACACCACUGGUCACGCGAAGGAGUCGUCAUCAAGCAACGCCUUCCCUGCUUAGGGGAAGUCGGAAAGGCCGAACCCUAGCGUGAUGGCCUCGGUGUCAUCCAUCCCACUCCCGACCUGCAGCAGUAGGUGCGAUAGGGAGUCAGUCGGGUCGGCUGUGGGGGAUAGAUAUCCCCUGGGUCCACUAAAGAAGUAAAAGGCCUCACGAAAGGCCCAAGGGCCCAAUAAUUCGUAAGGUCAUUCUUUCGUGGGCCUAGGGAAGGACAACCAACAAAGAAAAGAAGACGUGAGACUGAUUAGCGCAAACCCAGACGGCCCACAACGUCGGGCGAAUGAAUCGCAACAGAGACCCGACUUUCCCGCGCUGAAGCCCACAUGCAACAGAGUCAUGCGAGGAUAAGUCGGCAAGGGUUACGUAGGGAUAAACUCAAGAGGUUCACUAUCUUUUAGCUACUUGUUGUUAUCAUACUCACGUGUACUGCCCCACGGUCGAAUAUAUAAGACCUAGGGGGCACCCCUUCAGAACGAUCGCCCCUGUUCUACUUAGCCAUACACAUAAACUCUCUACGUCCUCUAUCCGGAGGACCCUUUUGUAACCACGCUCAUAUACUCACCAGGACGUAGGGUGUUACGCACUUCUAAGCGGCCCGAACCUGCAAAUCUUGUCUACUGUUCCUCGUGCGACCAGCACGAACCAUUUUGCUACAGUCGUCGACACCGUCCUACUCCUAAAAACACCUUGAGGGGCAACCCCGGGUGUGCGGUCGGACCCAAAACACCGACAGCUGGCGCGCCAGGUAGGGGGUGUGUCGACGAUCCAAGCUAGCUCAAUGGCCGUCACCUUCCACAGCAAAAUCGCCGUGCGUCCCGGAUCUGUAUUCUGCUUCGGGACAAUCUCGUCCGUAGCAGAUGAAGAAGGAAUUCUACACCGCCUCGCAGAUCUGCCGGAACAGAAGUCUCCUCCAACAAACUCCGAAAAUGCUGGAAAGACGCUACCUCCGGCUCUUCAGAAAAAGAUUGUCUCCGGGGAGGCUGGAGCUAGAAGCUCGCUGACCCGGAAGACUCCGCUGUCUACUUCCCCGACGAAAGAAUGGACACGGGUCAUGAGAAAGAAGGAGACCAGGGAGAGACAAGUCGUUCUUCCCGUUCCUCCGACCUCAAAGGAGAACGGAAAGAAAGUCGCCGCGGCAGCAGUACCGUUCUACCCCGACGUCCUCUUCAUCGGGAGAGCAGAGUCGCUCGCCAUCUCCGACGAUGAACCGACCGCGCCUGGAGAAGAACCGCCUCAGCGAGAAUCCCGCCGACGAAGGAACCGACGCAGGAACGUUCGACGACAUCACGCAGCUGGAGAAAGGGAUCCGGAGCAGCCUGUCUCGCGAGACGGGGUCUCAGAGAUAGGAGAAACUCCGGAAGAACGCGUCUUCAGGGAACGAAGGAACUCUCGACGGCGUGAUCGCCGUCGGACUCAGGAGCAAGCCGAGCAAGAUGCAAGGCAACGACGCGAGAAUCCGCUCUUCGGGCGCAACUUGAACCCCGACUUCGCUCGAGCUAUGAACACGCCGAGCGAAGUCGGAGGCGUUCUAGCUCGGAUAGCUGACGGACUUCCUCGGACUCCCGACGCCGAGGGAUACCGACGCCUGUUUACUCAGGCGGCCAACCAUCUUCUACCGCUCGCUCACCCGCCGAACGAUUUGCGACACACCAUCAACAGUCGCCGAGACGCGCGAAGCUCCAUCAAUGCUUCGCGCGAACGGCGGCAUGAGAACGAAAUUCGCCGUCGGGAGGAGUAUGACCGAGAUCAUGGCUUCCCGACUCAAAGCCAGGCCACCAGGACUGAGUCGGCAACAGCUUCAACUGGCGGUACCACCCGGGGACGGUCGAGGAACCGCCACCACCACUCCCCUCCCCGGGACAGACGUCAUCCCCGACGACAGGAGGACACGUGCGGAGUAUCUGCACUUACUCCGCGCCUUAGGGCCAUCCAAUGGCCUCCCAACUUCAAGGUAUCCAAUGUCAACAAAUAUGAACCUAAGCAGGAUCCAGGGGGUUGGUUAGCCGUCUACACCACUGCCGCUCGAGCUGCCGGAGCAUCCGAAGACGUCAUGACCGCAUAUCUGCCCAUCGUCCUUGGGCAAGAUGCGCUGCAGUGGCUGCGACAUCUACCCCGACACUGCAUCGACGACUGGGGAGACUUCAGUCGACGUUUCAUCGCCAACUUCCAGUCCCUCUCCGACAAGCCGGCGCAACCAUGGGACCUCAAAUCCAUCAAGCGCCGGGGGGAUGAGACUCUCCGGUCAUACCUUAAAAGGUUCCAGACCAUGAGAAACCGCAUCCCCGAGGUCACGGAGGCGGCCGUGAUCGAGGACUUCUACAGAGGAUCCAAUGACUCGGUUUUCGUCCGAGCCAUACUACAAAAGGCGCCGACUACUUCCGAGGAGCUGUUCCGGGAAGCCGAUCUCUACAUCACCGCCGACGAGUGGGCCCAGGAUCUCAUCGGAGGAGCAAAGCCCGCACCGGCAGCGCCACGGCGUGACGCGAACCAGCCGUCCGACAAACGCUGGGAGAAGAGGCCCCGAGAAGAAGUACACGCCGCCGGACCACCCGCCUCUCGCGCCCGAGGAGGACCUCGUGGAGGCGAGCGCACGCUGGACGACAUCCUCGACGCCCAGUGCCCGUACCACAAGGACAUGCGCCACACCCUUCGAAACUGCCGGGACUUCAAGCACUCCGUCGGGCACGGCCGACCCUUCCAACCUCUACCGCCUCCUCCGCCGAGGGGAGGACCAGAUGAACCACGACAGCCCCAUCGGCAGGAGGUGGGGGGAGGAGGAGCUUUCCCGCGCGUUGACAGGGAGGUCAACGUCAUCUUCGGCGGACAUGGGUCGCAGGAGAACAAAAGACAACAAAAGCUCAACGACCGCCAGAUACUGGUGGCGACCACCGGUCCUCCCGCCCCGUACCGGUGGUCGGAGCACCCGAUCACUUUCACUCGGGAGGAUCAGUGGCUCAACUUCGACCAUCCAGGCAAAUACCCGCUCCUCGUCGAUCCGGUGAUCCGAGAAAGCCGGGUAAAGAAGGUGCUAGUGGACGGGGGGAGCAGCAUCAACGUCACCUUCCCCCGUACACUCCAAGGCUUGGGAGUUCACCUCAAAGAGCUCCACGAGUCGGACACUCCUUUCUUCGGCAUCGUGCCGACGGAAGGGGAGUACCCGCUGGGCCACAUCUACAUGCCGGUCACCUUCGGAACUCCGGAGAACUACAGAACCGAGUUCCUGAGGUUCGAGGUGGCGAACUUCGACUGCGGGUACAACGCCAUCAUCGGGAGGCCGGGACUGGCCAAAUUCAUGGCCAUUCCGCACUAUACAUACAUGAUACUGAAGAUGCCGGGACCACGAGGAAUCAUAACUGUGCGUGCCGACUUCCAAGGUGCCGCAGAGUGUUUCCGAGUGGCCAUUCAGGCAGCCCUCACCACCAAGCCGUCGAUGGUUCCUUCUACAUCGGCGAACUCUAAGCCUGAGGAAGGCCUCACGGUACCAGCGAAUGAAACUCAGGCCGCGACCUCUAUGCGGCCGACUGAAGAAACCAAAAGAAUCAACCUGGGGUUCGCUGACGAGCGCAAGACGGCUAUCAUCAGCUCCAGUCUGAACGACAAAUAGGAAAGCGCGCUCGUCCAGUUUCUGCAAGAUAACCGGGAUGUAUUCGCGUGGCAACCUGCGGAUAUGCCGGGAGUCCCAAGAGAACUGGCCGAGCACAAACUGAAAGUCUACCCCCAGGCGAGGCCGAUUCGACAAAAGCUACGUCGUUUCACGCCCGACAAGAGAGAAGCCAUUCGUGCCGAAUUAGCUCGCCUGGUCGCGGCUGGAUUUAUUAGAGAAGUAUUACACCCUGAGUGGUUAGCCAAUCCUGUUCUUGUACUCAAAAAGAAUAAAGUGGAUUGGCGCAUGUGCGUCGACUAUACCGAUCUCAACAAACACUGUCCGAAGGAUCCCUUCGGGCUCCCGAGGAUAGAUCAGGUGGUGGAUUCCACCGCUGGAUGUUCUGUGUUGUCUUUCUUAGAUUGCUAUUCCGGGUAUCAUCAGAUUAGUUUGGCAAAAGAAGACGAGGAAAAAACGGCGUUCAUCACUCCGUUUGGUGCCUUCUGUUAUACCUCCAUGCCGUUCGGCCUCAAAAACGCUGGAGCGACUUAUCAGAGAGCCAUUCAAACAUGCCUAGCCGAUCACUGGGGCAAGCGUGUGGAGGCUUACGUUGAUGACGUGGUGAUCAAAACUGAGAAUCCGGAAAACUUCAUCGAAGAUUUACAGCUGGUUUUCAACAGCCUGAGAAGAUAUAGAUGGAAGCUCAAUCCUGAAAAAUGCGUUUUCGGGGUACCAGCAGGAAAGUUGCUCGGAUUUAUCGUCAGCCACCGGGGAAUUGAGGCUAAUCCAGAUAAGAUUGAAGCUAUCAUGAAGAUGGAAGCUCCUCGGUCACAAAAAAAGGUUCAACGACUCACAGGAUGUAUGGCAGCUCUAAGCAGAUUUAUAUCCAGACUGGGGGAGAAAGGCUUGCCGUUUUACAAGCUGCUUAAGAAGGUGGAUAAGUUUCAAUGGACUUCAGAAGCACAAGAAGCUCUAGAUGCACUUAAGAAAUUCCUGACAACACCACCAGUACUAAAGCCGCCCCGGCGAGCUACGCCAACUCAACCAGCUGAAGAUUUGCUGCUAUAUAUCUCUUGCACGACUCACGUGGUAAGCACUGCGUUGGUAGUCGAACGAGUGGAAGAAGGGCAUGCUUAUCCGGUACAACAUCCUGUCUACUUCAUCAGUGAGGUUCUGGGUCCAUCAAAGAAGAAGUAUCCUCAAGUUCAGAAGCUAUUAUAUGCAGUACUUCUAACUGCCCGCAAACUACGCCACUACUUUGACGACCACAAAGUCAUAGUAGUUACUGGUUUUCCAAUAGGGGACAUUCUUCACAACAAGGAAGCCAUUGGCCGAAUAGCCAAGUGGGCUUGCGAGUUGGGAUCCCAUGAUAUCGAGUUCCGACCUCGCACAGCCAUCAAAACUCAAGCACUGGUUGAUUUCGUAUCAGAGUGGACAGAACAGCAAGUACCGGAUAAUCCAGAAACCGCAGAAGUAUGGCGAAUGUAUUUUGAUGGCUCGCUGAAACUGCAAGGAGCAGGAGCAGGAAUUCUCUUCACUGCACCUGGAGGCGAGCACCUCAAGUAUGCUCUCCAGCUGCUAUUCCCGGCCUCUAACAACGCAGCCGAGUAUGAAGCUUUGAUACACGGAUUAAACAUCGCCAUAUCACUGGGCGUCAAAAGAUUGAUGGUAUAUGGAGACUCUCUGGUAGUCAUUAGUCAGAUAAACAAAGAAUGGGAUUGUUCAAGUGAUUCAAUGGGAAAAUACUGCGCUGCCGUCCGAAAGCUGGAAGAUAAGUUCGAGGGUCUGGAAUUUCAUCAUGUGGAAAGGGAUCGUAACACAGCAGCUGAUACACUAUCCAAGCUCGGAUCCGGUCGAACUCAGGUCCCACCCGGGGUUUUCGUGCAAGAAAUUACACGGCCGAGCAUCUCAAUAGAUCAAACAGAAGAGUGCAACAUCGUAGAUCAACCCGAGUCAGACUCUGAUGACUGGAGGAGGCCGAUCAUUAAGUACAUAAAGAACGAAGAAGAACCAGACGACAAGAACUCGGCAGAGCGCAUUGCCAGACAGUCGGCUCACUACACACUCAUUGGGGAGAUAUUAUACAGAAGGGGUGCAUCAGGUGUUCUCAUGAAGUGCAUUCUCCCGUCCACUGGGAAGCAACUUCUGGAGGAGGUCCAUGCAGGGCAAUGUGGAAUACAUGCAGCCUCCAGAACACUAGUCGGGAAGGUCUUCAGGUCAGGAUUCUAUUGGCCGACGGCGAAGAACGACGCAGCCGAGUUAGUUCAGAGAUGCGAAGCUUGUCAAUACCUGUCAAAGCAACAGCACAUGCCAGCACAGCAGCUACAGACCAUACCAGUAACUUGGCCUUUCGCAUGCUGGGGAUUGGAUAUGAUUGGACCUUUCAAGAAAGCUCAAGGAGGUUACACCCACGUAUUGGUGGCGAUUGACAAAUUCACUAUAAAUGGAUAGAGUUCAAGCCCAUUGCUUCUUUAACCUCUGCUAAGGCCGUGGAAUUCAUACAGGAUAUAAUAUUCAGAUUCGGGAUACCAAACAACAUCAUCACUGACUUAGGAUCCAACUUCACCAGCUCAGAAUUCUUUGACUUCUGCGAGCAAAAAAGCAUUCAGAUCAAAUACGCAUCUGUGGCGCAUCCAAGAGCCAACGGGCAGGUUGAGCGAGCCAACGGAAUGAUAUUGGAGGCACUCAGGAAAAGGGUCUUCGAUAAGAAUGAAAAAUUCACAGGAAAAUGGAUAAGAGAACUACCUUAUGUCGUUUGGAGCCUGAGAACCCAACCUAGCCGAGCCCUGCAUGGAAACACCCCUUUCUUCAUGGUCUAUGGGUCGGAGGCAGUGCUACCUGCUGACCUCAAGUUUGGGGCGCCAAGAUUGAUCUUCGAAAGCAUAGCGGAAGCUGAGGCCACCAGGCUGGAGGAUAUUGAUGUACUUGAGGAAGAGCGAUUGAAUGCAGUAAUCCAAUCAGCACGGUACCAGCAGACUCUAAGGCGCUAUCACGAUAAGGCAGUGCGGCAACGGUUCUUUUCAGUAGGAGACCUCGUCCUCCGCCGAAUUCUAACGGGGGAGGGACGGCACAAGCUAUCACCCUUAUGGGAAGGACCCUUCAUAGUAGGAGAGGUCACUCGGCCCGGAUCAUAUCGCCUCACCCAGACGGAUGGCACAGAAGUUGGGAACUCUUGGAACAUAGAGCACCUCAGAAAGUUUUACCCCUAGCUGUAUUUCAAAACAGCCGGGGCGACCAUGUACUCUGUAAAGUGGAAAUAUGUCAUCAAUAAAGAUAGAUUUCAAAGAUACUCGGUUCGUUUAUGAUCGACUUGCAUUCUUACUUAACUCGGGGUGACCACUAUGCCCUACAAACGGAGCAAUCGACUUAAGUCGGCAACGACUUAAGGCGGUGUAACAUGCUCACGCUUACUUAACUCGGGGUGACCACUAGGCCCUGCAAACGGAGCAAUCGACUUAAGUCGGCAACGACUUAAGGCGGUGCAACAUGCUCACGCUUACUUAACUCGGGGUGACCACUAUGCCCUACAAACGGAGCAAUCGACUUAAGUCGGCAACGACUUAAGGCGGUGCAACAUGCUCACGCUUACUUAACUCGGGGUGACCACUAUGCCCUACAAACGGAGCAAUCGACUUAAGUCGGCAAUGACUUAAGGCGGUGCAACAUGCUCACGCUUACUUAACUCAGGGUGACCACUAUGCCCUACAAACGAAGCAAUCGACUUAAGUCGGCAACGACUUAAGGCGGUGCAACAUGCUCACGCUUACUUUACCUAGGGGGACCACUAUACCCUACUAACGGAGUUAUCGGCUAAAAGUCAUUUACGGCUUAAACCGGUAUAGCAUACUCGCGCUCAUGCAGUUCAGGGGAUGAUUUCCAUAUCCCACAAACAAACUUCAUAAUCAUCAUGUAGCGUUACCACAAAUUCGAAAUUCGGAUACAAUAAGAAAAUGAUGAUGUCAUUUGAAUGAUAAGCCGAUAACCUCUAACGAGUACUUGAUCAUGCUAACUGCGCGCUCAGAGCACGCGAACUGUUUCUUUAUUUUCCAAUGUCUUUCUCAGGAACGACUGACGAAGAAGGGCGAUUCGAGGAGUCAGGGGCAGCAUUCACAUCGGCUCUUAUAUCUUCAGGGACAACCACGCCAGGUCUUCUCAUCAAGAUUCGUCCCGCCCGAAUGGCCUUGUCCAGGGCCUUAUCGCGCUGAGCUUUGAAAGUGGCAGCAGUUUCUUCGGCAACUUUAACAGCCUGCUAGGCAGUUUCUAACUCUUGAGCAAUGGAUUUCUUAGAAGCUCGGAAUCCCUUGAUGAUGGUAUCCUUUGCUGAUAGCAACUGUGUAAGGUGGGUCACUUCGUCCGAGGAUUCUUGCAGCUGACGACGCUGAUUGUCCAACUCCUCCAUCGUAAAGCGGUGGCUCCUCUCCAAGAUGGUCAGCGAGUUGCUGGAAUCUUGGUACAAUCUGUCAAGGUUGUCGCGAGAAGCAGCAAGGAUGCGUUUUUCUUCCUACAAGCAAAAAAUCAACUCAUUCAGAAUCCAAGAGCAUGAUAAGGCAAAGCACGGGUUCGUAAGCUACCUUCUCAGAGUCAAGCUGAGCAUGAAGAGAAGAACUCAGAGCGUUGGCAUCAUCCAAAGCCGCAGAUACCUGACUCAACUCGAUCUGACUCUGAGAAUACUUCUCCUCGAAGUCAGCGCACCGUUGAGCCAUUUCAGCUUGAUCUUGGGAACGUUUUUCUUCAAGAACUGCAAUCUGCCGAGUCAUUCCUAUCAAGGAGUAAUCAAAUGAAAUAAGGUCAGAAGGUAAAACAAUCCACAAGCAAAGGCAAAGAAGAAGAAGGAAAAGAACACCGACCAGCAUUUGUUGCCUCCAACUCAGACACACGACGUUGAAGCGACACUGGAUUCCAGCAUGCAAGAGACGAAGCCACUUCCGGGACAGAAGCACCCUGCAAUCUCAGCUGGCUGGCCAUCCCAUUCACUAAAGCCUGAUGAGAAGAACAGAUGAGUAGAAUGGCAACAGUUCAUACAAUGUAGGGAUCAAGCUACAAUACAGCACAAUUACCUGGAGGUUGGAGAAGAACGAAGAUAUUCCCAAAUCAGGAGAGAUCAGUGGAUAAUCAGGUGCAAGACCACCACCCGAAGCAGCUUGCAGCAGACCAGCAGGAACGAGCUCAGUACAUUCAGCAGAGCCUAACGCCAGACCAGUGGGGAUGCUGCCCUCUAAAGCGACCCCUUGAUCUGGAGUUUGAGCCACCACCAUGCCGCCAGAGUGUGGAGGUGAACCCGCGUGAACGUCCAUAGAAGUGCAGGAAGGAGACCCUGCUCGGGCACCUUCGGGGGCUGGGUCACAGUCGGCACUGCCCACCUGAGCCGGAUCAUCCCCGGCAACACCCUCGGGGGCUGGGCAGUGGCCUACACUCUUCGCCCGAGCUAAGUCACUCCCGACGACAUCCUCGGGGGCUGGGCAUAUAUCAGCGCCAUUCUUGGGACCCAGGCUCUCUGCCGUGACCACCUCUAAGGUUGACGGGCCUUCAGCUACUUCCAUGGGAUCAGAACGAUCCAGGUCAGCAUCCCGACCCUCGAGAUCAUGCUCUAAGGUCGACGAGGCACGGGAUGACCUCAACCCAGCAUCUGGCACGGCUGCACAAGUUUCUGUCGCGUCAGCAUCUGCAGUUUCCAACAACAAGUUCUCAGGGACCAUAUCCUCUAGAGCUUGAUCAAAAUUGGCCAUGGACAGUUCUUGCAGACCAAUAAGGGCAGACAAGGCGGGAGAAGGAACUCCACUACUUCCACCGCUAGCGACGAACUGCCGACUGUUUUUCCGAGUUAAUGGAAUUUCAUUUUCUUCCUCCUCAUCCUCCACAGUAACAGCACAAACAGCAUCCUCAUUGGGGUCAGCAGCAGGCGGAGCACACCCAUUGGGAUCAAUGUCAGCAAGGCCAGUUGCAGUCAUUUCUUCGGCAGUAGGAGCUAAGGUACUGGCAUCCUCGUCAAAGCUGGAUACUCGCCGGAGGCGUCUUCUCUUCUUUUUCUGCUCAUCAGCAGAAGGCUCGGGCUGACUGGUUCGGCUAGGGCGCCUCGGGCGAGUACUGACAGGUUUUGGGACAUCCAAAGUCGCAUCAACCUCUGGAAGGGGCACCACUGCCAAUGUACCAUCAGGAGCAACAUCGGAUGAAUCCUCAGCUAGCAGAUCGAGCAUAUCAUUUAUGUCAGCAUCACUGGGGUUCAAAGGCACUUCGAAGUAAACCUGCCGUUCAUCAUCAGGAAUUGCCCCGAGCGAAGCAACCAAAGCACUGACUUCCUCGGCAGAAGGUCGCACUCUAAGACCCAAAUUGCUAUCAGUCACGGGUGGAUUGGACACAAAAAGGGUGAAAGCUUUGGGAGAAGAAAGGUUCCAAGCCGAGUAAGCCACUGGAGCACCAACGCUUGAAACUUUACCCCUGAGGAUCAGUUCGAGUCGGCUUACCAAAUCAACAGAAGGAAUUCUCCUAUUGGUAACUCGGGUUGAGUCGGCCAGCCCUCGGUAAAGAUAUGCCGGAUAGGCCCUGUCUUUCAGCGGCUGAAUGUUUUUGAAAACGAAAUCUGUGACCACAGCUUCGGCAGUCAGACCUCUCUCUUUCAGUAAUCCGACUUCAGUAAGCAACACGCCUGCCUCGGCCACUUCUUGAUCCGUGGGAGACUCAGUCCAACUCAGAGUACGAACGUCUGGCUGUCUUCCUGAGCGGGGAGGGAGAGAAUUUCCAUAAUUAUCAAUUAUAAACCACUCCAGACGCCAACCUUUAAUGCUGUCCUUGAGGGGUAUCUCGAGAUACUCGGUCUUCCGCCCACGGCGCAUCUCCAAACUGGCACCUCCGACCAACUGAUGUUGCCCCCCGGCCAUCCCAGGACGGCAGUGAUACAGAUAUUUCCAUAAGCCAAAAUGCGGCAGCACGCCGAGAUAAGCUUCGCAAAGGUGAACGAAAAUAGAGAUUUGGAGAAUGGAAUUAGGGUUCAAAUGAGUCAGGUUGAUGUGAUAAAAAUCAAGGAUGCCACGGAAAAAAGGAGAUAUGGGAAGGCCGAGGCCGCGAAGAAGGAAAGGAGUGUAAACUACUGACUCGUGGGUAUCUUCGGUUGGGACAGUAGUCCCGUGGCAAGCCCGCCAAGAACAGAGUUCCCGCGGAGGAAGAACCCCGAUGGAGACAAGGCGGAAAAGCUCAGCUUCAGAAAUUACAGACAUGUGGUUACCUGCGAAGGGUAACUGGCUGUUGGGGUCGAUUGUGGGGAUCACUGCAGCAGACGAGUUCGCAGUUUUUCUCUUGGGCGCCAUCUUGCUUCUCACUGGCGAAACAGAGUAGGAGGCGAGUGACAGAGAAGAUUCAGAUGCGGAAAUGCAAGAACUAGGGCACGGAAAGCAAAGGCGGCUAAAAGCGCGACUCUUAAGGGAUAUUCUUGAGCCAGAUACCCUUUUAAAAAAAAGUGCCCAGUCAUCACCCGGCGGUCAUCUCCGAAAUUCCAGCAUGCCACAUGGAUAUCCGACAGUUAUUUCCAAGAGAGCCGACGUGCCACCUCAUCACUCGGUUAUUUUCCUCAAAAUAACUUAUAAAGCUGGCUAUCAUUCGGCGUUACCUCUAAAACGCCGACCACGUGUUCAAUCGCUCGGCAUUACUUCUAAAAUGCCGAUGCCGACCUACAAUCACUCGGCGUUACCUCUAAAACGCCGACCACGUGUUCAAUCGCUCGGCAUUACUUCUAAAAUGCCGAUGCCGACCUUCAAUCACUCGGCGUUGCCUCUAAAACGCCGACCACGUGUUCAAUCGCUCGGCAUUACUUCUAAAAUGCCGAUGCCGACCUUCACUCACUCGGCGUUGCCUCUAAAACGCCGACCACGUGUUCAACCGCUCGGCAUUACUUCUAAAAUGCCGAUGCCGACCUUCACUCACUCGGUGUUGCCUCUAAAACGCCGACCACGUGUUCAAUCGCUCGGCAUUACUUCUAAAAUGCCGAUGCCGACCUUCACUCACUCGGCGUUGCCUCUAAAACGCCGACCACGUGUUCAAUCGCUCGACAUUACUUCUAAAAUACCGACGCCGACCUUCAAUCACUCGGCGUUGUUUCUAAAAUGCCGACCCUGUAUUCUGUCGCUCGGCAUUACUUCUAAAAUGCCGAUGCCGACCUUCUAUCAUUCGGCAUUGCCUCUAAAACGCGGAUCUUGUGUUCGAUUUCUUGGUGUUACUUCUAAAACGCUGAUGACAACCUACACAUCGCUCGGCGUUGUUUCUACUACAUUAAAAGAAUCAGUUCAACAUUCAGGAAAAGCAACGGCAAGUCAUCAAAAAGGGGGGAUCAACGAUAGUUCUUCAUUAAAGGGAAGUUAACGAGUUUACAAACCAACUCUUCACGAGUUGGUACUUCCCUACUUCUACUCUACAUUAUUACUACUACUAAACUACACUAAUUACUACUACAUUAUUCUAACUAUACUAAACUAUACUAACAUCUAAGAAGACCAGUGGCGUCUAGCCACUGGCCCUGCCCCUGCCGCCGCCGCCGCCCUUGGUGCUGCCCUUGCUGCUGCCACCCUUGGUGCUGUCCCUGCUGCCGUCGCCGCCGCCCCUGCCACUGCCGCUGCCGUCACCGUCGCCGUCGUCGUCGUCGUCGUCAUCGUCGUCGUCGCCUUCACCCUCGUCGCCGCCGUCCGAGUCCUCCUCAUCAGAGGAGUACUCCGACUCAUCCGAGCCUUCGAGCCCGGAGCGCUCGACGGCCCGGAUGUACGUCCAGACCUCCGCGGCUAUCCCCUGGGAGUCGUCCGAGUCAUCGGACGACGCCGGGGGAGAGACGGGAGCCGGAGACCCCUCGGACUCGGAGGAGAACUCCUCCUCCGAGUAUUCCGAGUCACCGAAAUCCUCCGAUGGAGGAGUCGGCUCGCGCUCGCGCUCGCGCUUGUUGUUCUUGCCCAUGGCGGAAGCAGACAGAGGGGAGGAAAAGAAGGCAGUAAGGAGCAGCGAAGAGAUGUGGAGAAACCAGAGAAGCAAAGGGGUUAUUUAUAGAAGGGAAAGGCAACCGCUCACUUCUAACCGCGGUCACUGAACAGUCGCAAGGCAUUCAAUAAGCACUUCCACCCAUCUGAAGACACGUCAGACGGCGGACGCCGUUUCAUGCAACACUACACCCAUUGGGACUCCAGUCAACAGCGCAAAGGAUAUGAUUACACUAGCCGUCCCAUCGCAUUACUACUCAGAGGCAACCGGCUAAAACACUCAGCGUACCAAGCCGUCCCUUGCCCACACCCAUUGGGGGGGGGGACGCCCAGGAAUUAUCAGUAUAUUUUUCAAAACGGUCACAUCCGUGCAGGGCACGCAGUGAAUACCUCAAGACAAAAAUGAGAUAUCAGUAAGGAUCAGUGGAAAGCCAAAUAUAGCCAGCAAAGUACAAGAUAUGGCCGACAGAAGUGACGUGAAGACUAGACAGAGAACGUCUGUCAAACGUCUAAUCAAUCACAGAAGCAAAUAAAUUGCACUACCUAGCAAGAUAUGGAUGGAUUGCAAACUCGGCUGCUCAAGACAAAAUAUACGCUGACCUCUGCAGCAAAAUAUUGAUGACAUAAUGCUGACCUCCAAAGCAUAAUGCAAAAUAGCUUCAUGCCAGUUUCCACAAGCGAAAGGAAGACCUUCGAAUGGAUUAUCCUUAAAAAAUCCAUUUGAAGGUCGGGGGCUACACCCAUUGGGUGCACCUCCGGUGCACCCCAUGGAGUAUUAUUCUAAGCCGAUAUAGCGCCGACUUCUAAGGCGUAGAGCAAGACUGAAAAGACCGAUCCUCAACCGAGAUGCAGGAGCGCGAAUGGAGAUAACCUUGGGAAGAAGACCUUCGAGUAGAUUAUCUUCUAAAAUCUACUCAAAAGUCGGGGGCUACACCCAUUGGGUGCACCUCCGGUGCACCCAAUGAAGUCCAGAGUCUUACAAUCCAAAAUGCCAACCUCUAAGGCACAAGCACAAAACCAAACUUUGGUCAAACGAGUGAUCAGAGCUAGAGAAGACAGCAGGAAGUCAUUUUUUGGACCUUGGAUCUUUGAGUUGAUUACCUCUAAAUCAACCCAAAGAUCGGGGGCUUGUGGGGGAUAGAUAUCCCCUGGGUCCACUAAAGAAGUAAAAGGCCUCACGAAAGGCCCAAGGGCCCAAUAAUUCGUAAGGUCAUUCUUUCGUGGGCCUAGGGAAGGACAACCAACAAAGAAAAGAAGACGUGAGACUGAUUAGCGCAAACCCAGACGGCCCACAACGUCGGGCGAAUGAAUCGCAACAGAGACCCGACUUUCCCGCGCUGAAGCCCACAUGCAACAGAGCCAUGCGAGGAUAAGUCGGCAAGGGUUACGUAGGGAUAAACUCAAGAGGUUCACUAUCUUUUAGCUACUUGUUGUUAUCAUACUCACGUGUACUGCCCCACGGUCGAAUAUAUAAGACCUAGGGGGCACCCCUUCAGAACGAUCGCCCCUGUUCUACUUAGCCAUACACAUAAACUCUCUACGUCCUCUAUCCGGAGGACCCUCUUGUAACCACGCUCAUAUACUCACCAGGACGUAGGGUGUUACGCACUUCUAAGCGGCCCGAACCUGCAAAUCUUGUCUACUGUUCCUCGUGCGACCAGCACGAACCAUUUUGCUACAGUCGUCGACACCGUCCUACUCCUAAAAACACCUUGAGGGGCAACCCCGGGUGUGCGGUCGGACCCAAAACACCGAUCGGCGGCCGUGGUAACGGUGAUGUUGGUGAAGUCGUGGAUGAGGUGCGCGCGGAGGGAUGGGGACACGACAAGCGUGACAGAGAGGUCAUGGAAGCCGCGACGACGUGGCGCUGCGCGCUCCCAGCGUCGGUGGCGCCGCGUCGGCAACGGUGAGGCCGGCGACAAAUCUCUGGGUGACGACUGACGAACGAAGGCGAGUGGGUUCGUAGAUGUACUGGAACGCUCGCCUCCGCUCAUUCUAGAACGUUCACCUCAUCCGAAAAGAAAAGUUGUAUCGAAGGCUGUCUCGUAGCCGUUGAUUGUCCAACGUGCGGAUGAAAACAAAAAUACCGACGUGGACAACUUUAGGGAGCAGAUUUGCAACCUUCUUUAAUAUAUAGAAAUUCUAUCGGUCCUAAAAUAUUAGUCGUUUAAACUCUUGAAUUUUAUAUUUAUGUUCAAAUUGAUGAUGCUUAAUCUAAAGAAAUAUAUAAAACGAAUAUAUUAAUUAUUAUAUAAAUCAACUAAAAAGGUAAAACGAAUUUUAUUCGUAUGUUCAAAUUGAUGACGCUUAAUCUAAACAAAUCUAUAAAACAAAUAUAUUAAUUAUUAUAUGAAUCAACUAAAAAGGUAAAACAAAGUUUAUUUAAAACAAAUUUUAUUUUGGCGACGGGCAACUUUAUGUAAAUUGCUCGAGUACUCAUUGCAUAUUCUAACAUUUUCUGUACACGAAGUUAAUACAAAUCAAUUAGAGCGAUACUAGAUCCUUCCUCAAUUACAGUUUUUUAGCCUUGUUUUAAGUUAUUUUUUGAACGUUGACAAGGUUCAUAGAAAAAAACGUAUAUAAUAUUAAAGUAUUUUAACUAAAUUAUCAUAAAAUAUGUCUUUAUAACACGUUUGUUUAAAUGUUUUGUUUUCUAAAAAGUAAAUCAAAUCUUACAAAUUUGUAUUAUUAAGAUAUAAUUAAAGUGAACUAUAAGUUGCUCUUUUCGUUCUAAAGUAUAAAAUGUUUUAAAAUCUAAACCGUUUCGAUGACACAUUAGAAUCAUGUGACAGAAUAAUAGAUUAACAUAGCUCCUUUUUCCUGACAAAGACAAACGUGUAUUGUGCACUGCGUAUACUGUACAAAGUUACCAAAUUGCGAAGUGGAGGCAAAGAGCAGCAAAACCGAGCGCGACACGAUGAUGGUAACACCGUGACGACACAAGCCAAAACAGUGGGCAGGGGCCCACGCCGUCAUCGCCAUCCCCUUGGCUCGCCACCACACGCCCGCCACAAAGGUCCAACCCCGUGGUGGACCAGUCCUCUUUCCUCAGCUACUGCUCACCGCCGGCACCACGAGCGUCAACCGCUUCGCCGACGCGAUCUCCUCCAGCCCCCGCUGCCGCGAUGCAAUUCCUCAGCGCCUCCGCCUCAGCCUCCUCUCUGGUGCCGCCGUCCGCGCACCUCCUCCGCCUCUCGCGGCCCCAGCCCUUCCCGCAGCUCCUCCGCCGCCGCUCCCCGCCCAGACCCCUCGCGCUCACGCCCCGACUGCCGCUCCCCCUCGUCUCGCGACCCUCCCUUCUCUCCACCCCACGCGCGCACGGCGGCCACGGUCACGGGCACCACCACGGCCAUGACCACCAUCACCACCACGGCCACGGCCACGGUCACGGUCACCACGAGGUGGACGUGCACGGGGGAGGCGGGGGCGCGGCGGUCAUGCGGGUGGCGCGGGCGAUCGGCUGGGCCAACGUCGCCGACGCGCUGCGGGAGCACCUCCACCUCUGCUGCAUCUCCCUCGGCCUCCUCCUCAUCGCCGCUGCUUGCCCGCACGUCGCGCUGCUCAACUCAGUCAGCCGCCUGCAGGCCGCUCUCAUCGCCGUCGCCUUUCCUCUCGUCGGGGUAAUGCCACCUGCUUUGUUCCUUUGCUACUUUUGACCUUCCACACCAUUACGAUUUCCAGUGAUCACCACUAAUUACUAUGCUUGCUUAGUUCUAUUUGUUCUAUGCUCACAGCUGCUUCAAGCCUUCAACAACGCACUUUCAGAUGAAAUAGUUAGUUGGGUUGCGUCAAUUCUAUGUUGUAUUUAAUAAAUGCCUGAAAAUUGGUAGGAAAAUUAGAGCAUAGGAUUGGGAUUUCAGAUACACUAAGCAGUUAGCACACUCUAAGGAGUUCAUACAUUGGAAACACUUAGGCUUCUAUCUAUGACAUUGUGUCAUGCUGGGGAUCUCGCUCUAAAAGUUUGCACAGGGAAGUCACUAUGUGUAUGCCACCACAUAACUCUCGGGUACUUGUCCAGGCUUCUUUUGAAACGGCUUGUCCAGAUUUCAAAUUACCCAAGGUUCAGCUACAUCUUCUCAGAAAUUGAUAUGAUGACUGCAUUGGUGUAAAAUGGAAUUCAUUGAACAUGGAGCUGUGUUUUGCUUUGCUACCGAACAAGGGAGAUUAGAGAAGUCUUUGUUUUUGAGGUCUCUUGCCAACAAUGUACCUGUUUGACACUCCUUUCCCCAUAUUGCAGGUUUCUGCAGCGCUUGAUGCUCUUGUAAAUAUUGCAGACGGUAGAAUAAAUAUUCAUGUCCUCAUGGCUCUUGCAGCAUUUGCUUCUAUAUUUAUGGGAAAUGCAUUGGAGGGUGGCCUGCUUCUUGCAAUGUUUAAUUUGGCUCAUAUUGGUACAUUUCUUUUGAUAACAUCUGAAAGCCCCAUGUGUUAGCUCCUGUUGUGUGUUUAUUAGGAGUUCACUAUUCUCGUUUCUUACAGCUGAAGAGUAUUUUACAAGUAAGUCAAUGUUUGACGUGAGGGAACUGAAGGAAAAUCACCCAGAAUUUGCUUUGUUGUUAGAAACAAGUGGAGAAGAAUCUGUACAGUUUUCAAAUCUAAGUUACACCAAGGUUCCUGUGCACGAUCUUGAUGUGGGUUCUCAUAUCUUGGUUAGAGCUGGCGAGGUGUGUUAUAUCUUGUAUAGAAUUUAAAUCCUUGCCUUUCCUAUCUUUUGUUUUCAUUUCAUUGUUUCCUACAUGCUGAUGGUGCUUUUAUUCUAGAUGGUUAGAAAAAUUCUCAUUUUAGUGCAGUUCUUGUAUUCUUUAGGCUGUGCCUGUUGAUGGUGAAGUCUACCAAGGUUCAUCAACUGUCACAAUUGAGCACCUAACUGGUGAAACAAAACCUUUAGAAAGGACAGUUGGAGAUGCCAUACCAGGUGGCGCCAGGAACUUGGAAGGAAUGAUGAUUGUAAAGGUUUGCCUUUUCUCUCUUCAAUGAAGAGUAAGAUUUCAACUUUAUUUGAUGAAGAGAUAGAAAAUGCAAACCUAGUUAACCCUUUGGGAGGACAGAUGUUUAAUUUUAAUAAGCAGUUGUUACUAGUACUGUUUCUGCUUUUUUAGUACAUUAUGUUUGCUAUCUGUCUAGAGUGUUGCCUUGCCACCUUGCAAGAGAGUCAUUUGUUUGCCUAUUUACUACCUUUUCUAGGUGACCAAGUCAUGGGAGGAUUCAACGCUCAACAGAAUUGUCCAAUUGACUGAAGAGGGCCAGCUAAACAAGCCAAAGUUGCAAAGAUGGCUUGAUGAGUUUGGGGAGUACUAUAGCAGAGUUGUGGUAGCCCUUUCUUUGGUUGUUGCACUUUUGGGACCAUUACUUUUUAAGUGGCCUUUUUUUGGUAACUCAGGUAAUCCUCUAAUGUCUCACUAUUGUAUUGGUCCUGCCAUAUACUUAUAUAAAACAUAAUAGGUACUUUUGAUAGUAGUACACCCAAUAUGCAUUGGUACAUUUCAUACUGAUGAUUUUGAUUUGCCAAUUCUAUCGGUUUCAUACACUUAACUCCAGACUUGAACUUUCUCUAUUCUGACAUUUUCUUUAGUCUGUAGGGGUUCAAUUUACCGUGGAUUAGGACUUAUGGUGGCUGCAUCUCCCUGUGCAUUGGCUGUAGCUCCAUUGGCAUAUGCAACUGCAAUCAGUUCUCUUGCUAGUAAGGUACUGUUUGAAAUUUUCAGUUGUCCGAGCUCUUUAUUUUGGUGUGAUACAAUGCUUUCUUGAAAGCAUCAACCAUUUAGUUCAUAACUUCACAUUGCUCACAAGUAUGGGUAAAACCUAUAGUAUAUUGAUAUGAAUUCUCUCUCUUUUUCAAUGUAUUGGUAAUUACAGCAGCUACGAAGUUUCUCUUGUAUUUAAUUGGAGAUAGCACCAUAGCAAUCUUGUCACUUUUUGAAUAACUCUUUUCUCGUACUAGCUGCUCCAUUUCUGGGUGCUAUAGUGGAUAAUGGAUUGAUGAACCUAUGCUUUUGUUCUCCUCUAGGGAAUUUUGUUGAAAGGUGGCCAUGUCUUGGAUGCUCUUUCGUCUUGUCAGUCUAUUGCUUUUGAUAAGACAGGCACACUAACAACUGGGAAGCUUAUGUGCAAAGCAAUUGAGCCUAUCCAUGGACAUUUGGGUGUGAAAAGUGGUCGUAGUAAUCCUUCUUGCUGCACUCCAAACUGUGAAAGUGAGGCAUUAGCUGUUGCUGCAGCCAUGGAGAAAGGAACAACCCAUCCUAUUGGAAGGUACAGAAAAUACAUAACUUUUGAAGAGCCCAUUUGUUCAUUUUAUUUUUAUUACGUGCAUUCUUAAUUCUCAUGAGUAUAACUCUUCAAAUAGCUGGGCUUUCUAGGUGUUGCUAGAAGCCUAGAAUCUACUCCCUGGCCCAGUGUAAAUAUUGUACCACUGUUGUUGCUAAGGUGUUGAAACUCAGGCAACAAAUCUGUGUUGCUUAUUUGGAAGCAAAGUGAGUAGGCUUAUUCCGGUUGCAUGUGGUUGCUUGAAUUUCUGUUCACACAAGCCAGUAAGCCACUAGUGGCUGUCUUGCACUGGACCAGCAUGGAUUCUACAUGAAUGUUGCUGUGAUCUUAUCUAUGCCUAUUCGGAACUGAUUGUUGAAAAGUUCCCUUGCCCUUAAUCUUAGUUUAGACUUUAUUGUCUUUUUUUUGUAUUUUUGAAUCAUGGCAUUGGGGGUUCACUGUGUAUAUUGCUAUGCAUUCUAUUGUUCAUUUUUGUUUUAUGCACUGGAUUUUACAGAAUAAUGGGUCAAUCAGAAAUAUACCACUCAACCUUUGUAAAAUUAGAUAGCUAGUUCAUUUCCAUGUCACUCCAUUGCAUCGAGAUGAACUAGCUAUCUAAUUUUGUAAAGAGUGGCAUGUAUACAAUUAAUCCAAUAAUCUAUGGCAAACAAUUGACAUACAGUUUGCAUGAUCACAGGGCUGUUUUAGACCACUCUGUUGGAAAGGAGCUUCCAGUUGUCGCUGUAGAAAGUUUUGAAUGCCUACCUGGUAGGGGAGUUGUUGCUACUUUGAGUGGUGUAAAGGUACGUCUGACUUCUAUAAUUUUCAAUCAGCAAAGUCAUCUGGAAUUGUCAGAUAUAUCAAAGACCUUGCUUUAGACCAUGGUUUUUAAAGCGGGGCGAGACAAGGCGUUGGACCACCGCCUGGAGGUAGGCGGGCAAGGCGCCAAGGCGUUGGACCUUCGCCUGGAUGCCUAGGCGACGCCUUAAGAACAGUGCUUUAGACAAAAUUCCGGUGUAUUACUGGAAAUACCACUGGCAUUUAAUGUAUAUUGUAGGCACCAACACUCUUGUAGUGUAGCGGUAAGCUCCCUAGUUGCGGGAGACAAAAAAAGUCCCAUUGUUGGCAACCAAAAAAUAGUGGUAGAGCGCCAGCCUAUGGUGCCUGGAGUUGGUUUGAGCCCUCAUACUAGUUGCAGUGGCCGUCAGCCCAGAAGAUCAUGGUCGGCCCAGGUUACGGUGAGGCCCUAUAGGCCUAUAAGGUGAAGCCGGGGUUCAGGGGUUUUCUUGGUCGGUCUGAGCUUCAGUUCAAUACUGUGGGGUCAGUCUUUCCCCACCGGCCAAGUUCUUUAUACUGUAGGCAGCAUAUGUUUCAUCCAAUGAAUGCAAUUGUAGUUCAGUAGCUGUCAUAUUCUUUAAUAGGGACAUGUUUUAGAUUUUGAUAAAUUAGCAUGGUUGUUAUUUGGUGUUUGGUCACUAUGAAUGAUUUGGAAGAGCCAGCCUUUCACAUGCUAACUUGACAUCUCAUACACUUGCCUUACAGGUAAGGGAAAAUGAAAAUGAGCUAUCCGAGGCAUCUAUCGGUUCUGUGGAUUAUAUUUCUUCACUAUAUAGAUCCAAUGGUGAAUCAGAGCAAAUAAGAGCAGCAGCAAAAAGUUCUGCAUAUGGGCCUGAAUUUGUUCAAGCUGCUCUAUCUGUUGACAAAAAAGUAAGUUAACUUGAGAGCCAAACUCUUUCUUCUUUCAUGUAUCUGGCUAUGUAUUUUCAUUCUGGUCCACCUAAGUGACUAACCAGCAUGCUCCCAUGUAUCAAUUGCACAUUCAAAACCAUAAGCACAGCCUAGGUGGUCUAGAUAGCCUGCCUAUUCUGAAACUUGUUCAGCAUGUGCCCUGAUAAUUUGAAUCCGAUUAUUUAGGCUGGUUUGGAUACUAGCCUUCUUUGAGUUUUACUUAGAAGUAAGAACCUUUUUUUUUUCUUAAACGCGCAGGAGAGCUGCGCAUCAUUAGAUUAAGAGAAGAAAAUAGUCCAAAAUGGACCAAAGUACAAUGCCAAAAUAGGCAAAACACAAAACCACCAACUUCUGCUGCGCACAAAACUGCAGCCUCCAUAAAUGCGCCUGGAAACAGCAGCACACAAUAGGAGACCGAACAACAAAAAGUGCCAGCAGACCACACACACCUGCUCUUCACUAAUCACCCAAACGAACCCUUGACCUAAAAAUUCCAGCACCAGGAACCAAAGCCUCAAGAUGCCUAGCAUCGGCAAGCCUCCAGAAUUCAACUUCAUCCAGAAAAAUUGCCUUUAUGCCAAUAAUUGAAGGACCGACACCAUCAAAAACCACCUUAUUACGAUGAAGCCAUAAACACCAAGCCCCCAAGAUGAUAAUACUGAACUUGCUUUUGUUGAAGUGAAGCUGACCUUAAUUUGCUUUGCAUAGUCAUAAUCAUGACCUUACCUUGUUUAGCCGGGCCACUCACUGGCAAGAAGGCUGUACAAGUGACUGUAUCAAGGCGAAACAGUACUUGUCGGGGACCAUAAUUAGGGGUACCCUCAAGACUCCUAAUUCUCAGCUGGUAACCCCCAUCAGCAUAAAGCUGCUAAGGCCUGAUGGGUGCGAUUAAGUCAGGGAUCAGUCCAUUCGAGCGACUCGAUCACGCCUCGCCCGAGCCUAGCCUCGGACAAGGGCAGCCGACCCCGGAGGAUUUCCGUCUCGCCCGAGGCCCCCCUCCGACGGCGAACAUAUCUCCGGCUCGCCCGAGGCCCUGCCUUCGCUAAGAAGCAACCCUGACUAAAUCGCCGCACCGACCGACCAAAUCGCAGGAGCAUUUAACGCAAAGGUGGCCUGACACCUUUAUCCUGACGCACGCCCCCCAGGCAGAGCCGAAGUGACCGCCAUCACUUCGCCGCUCCACUGACCGGCCUGACAGAAGGACAGCGCCGCCUGCGCCACUCCGACUGCAGUGUCACCUGACAGAGUGAGACUGACAGGCAGUCAGGCCCUGCCAAAGGCACCAUAGGAAACUCCGCUCCGCCCGACCCAGGGCUCGGACUCGGGCUAAGCCCCGGAAGACGGCGAACUCCGCUCCGCCCGACCCAGGGCUCGGACUCGGGCUAAGCCCCGGAAGACGGCGAACUCCGCUCCGCCCGACCCAGGGCUCGGACUCGGGCUAAGUCCCGGAAGACGGCGAACUCUGCUCCGCCCGACCCAGGGCUCGGACUCGGGCUCAGCCCCAGAAGACGACGAACUCCGCUUCGCCCGACCCCAGGGCUCGGACUCCGUCCUGGCCUCUGCCGACGACCUCCGCCUUGCCCGACCCAGGGGCUCAGACUCGGCCUCGACCAUGGAAGACAGACUUGACCUCGGCUUCGGAGGAGCCUCCACAUCGCCCAACCUAGGGCGCAGGCUAGCCACGUCAACAGGAGGCGCCAUCAUCACCCUACCCCGAGCUGACUCGGGCCGCAGGGAACAAGACCGGUGUCCCAUCUGGCUAGCUCCGCCAGAUAGGCAAUGAUGGCGCCCCACAUGCUCUGUGACGACGGCGGCUCUCAGCCCCCUUACGGAAGCAAGAGGACGUCAGCAAGGACCCAACCGCUCCGACAGCUGUCCCUCCGCCAGGCUCCAUCGCUCCUCCGACGGCCACGACAUCACACCAGCUGGGUGCCAAAAUCUCUCCGGCUGCCACAUCGGCAUGUACUUAGGGCGCUAGCUCUCCCCCGCUAGACACGUAGCACUCUGCUACACCCCCCAUUGUACAACUGGAUCCUCUCCUUACGCCUAUAAAAGGAAGGACCAGGGCCCUCUUAGAGAGGGUUGGCCGCGCGGGGACGAGGACGAGACAGGCGCUCUCUUGGGGCCGCUCGCUUCCCUCUCCCGCGUGGACGCUUGUAACCCUCUACUGCAAGUGCACCCGACCUGGGCGCGGGACGAACACGAAGGCCGCGGGAUUCCCACCUCUCUCACGUCGGUCUCCGGCCGCCUCGCUUCUCCCCCCUUCGCGCUCGCCCUCGCGCUCGACCCAUCUGGGCUGGGGCACGCGGCGACACUCACUCGUCGGCCCAAGGGACCCCCCGGUCUCGGAACGCCGACAGUUGGCGCGCCAGGUAGGGGCCUGCUGCGUGUUGACGAACAGCUUCCCGUCAAGCUCCAGAUGGGCAGUCUCCAGCAACCUCUCCAACCCGGGACGGUGCUCCGUUUCGGGAGUCUUGAGUUCAUGUCCCUCGACGGCAGCUACGACAUGAUGCUCCUUCCACCGCCGCGCGACAACGACAAUGGCGUCCGACAGCCCGCCCGCCGGCGGCGAAAUCGACGACGUCUUCCCCGCGUGGUGGAAGAACAACAUUCGAGCUCGUCCCGCCUUCUUCUCCGCCGACGGAGGGGAAAGCAGGGCAACCAAGGCCAAGCAGGAGGCAGCGCCUCGUCGGCUAUCGAGCGAGUCGACAGCGCCGGCACCCCAACGAGGGGCGCACCGGGUAUCGACUUCGCGCCUGAGACGAAGACGAGCGCCGUCUCCCCGCGACACGCCAAUCCCGAGCAAGUGGACGACGCCAGCGCGCUUGCGAAAAGCUUGCAGGACGUCGCCCUCGUACCUGAGACGACGGUGCAGUCAGUCCCCGACGUGACUUCAUCGCCGCUUGUCGACCAAAAGGUACCGACCGAUUCCCAUCCUACGUCAUUUGGAUUCAGCCUCAACCCGCCUAGCGACCUCGCUUUGGCGGACGCUCUCGUAGAGGCGAGUUCAAACCCUCUGGGGUUUCGCAUGCGGUCGCCUUGGGACCGGUUGACGGACGUCUCGACCUACGGGCCCUCUGGGUCCGAGGAAGACGACGACCCCAGCAUCUGUUGGGGUUUCUCUGGACUUGGCAACCCCAGUGCCAUGCGGGACUUCAUGACCGCAUGUGACUUCUGCCUCUCCGACUAUUCCGACGGUAGCCGCAGCCUCGACGACGAGGACUGCGGCCCAAGCCGCAAAUGUUUCCACGUCGAUCUAGGGGGUCCCUCCGAAGGCAAUCAUCUCGGCAUGCCGGAGGAUGGUGAUCUCCCUAGGCCGGUGCCCCGCGUUGACAUCCCACGGGAGCUAGUUGUGGUCCCCGUUCAGGCGGGGGGCCAUGACCCACAGCUCGAGCAAAUCCGCGGGGCGCAGGCCAGGCUCGACGAGGGAGCAGGAGCGCUUGAGCCGAUCCGCCGGGACGUCGGGCAGGCAUGGGCGGGCCAACCCCCGGCCGGAGAAAUACGUCACCUGCCCCAGGGCUUCCAGCACCGCGUCGCCGACGACGCUAGGGUCAGGCCGCCACCCGCAUCUAGUGGCGUCGGCCAGAACCUGGCUGCAGCAGCGAUGCUCCUCCGCGCGAUGCCGGAGCCAUCCACCACCGAGGGUCGGCGAAUCCAGGGGGAGCUCAAGAAUCUUCUGGAAGGCGCCGCGGUCCGACGGGCCGAGAGCUCUGCCUCCCGAAGGCAGGGAUACCCCUCGGAACCUCACGCCGCGACUUCCCGAUUCAUGCGGGAAGCCUCGGUCUACACCGGGCGCACGCGCAACACCGCGCCUGCGGCCCCGGGCCGCCUCGGCAACGAGCACCAUCAUCGCGACCGUCGGGCCCACCUCGACGAGAGGGUGCGCCGAGGCUACCACCCCAGGCGUGGGGGACGCUACGACAGCGGGGAGGAUCAGAGUCCCUCGCCCGAACCGCCCGGUCCGCAGGCCUUCAGCCGGGCCAUCCGACGGGCACCGUUCCCGACCCGGUUCCGACCCCCGACUACUAUCACAAAGUACUCGGGGGAGACGAGACCGGAACUAUGGCUCGCGGACUACCGUCUGUCCUGCCAACUGGGUGGAACGGACGACAACCUCAUCAUCCGCAACCUCCCCCUGUUCCUCUCCGACACCGCUCGCGCCUGGUUGGAACACCUGUCUCCGGGGCAGAUCUCCAACUGGGACGACCUAGUCCAAGCCUUCGCCGGCAAUUUCCAGGGCACGAACGUGCGCCCCGGGAACUCCUGGGACCUCCGAAGCUGCCGACAGCAGCCGGGAGAGUCUCUCCGGGACUACAUCCGGCGAUUUUCGAAGCAGCGCACCGAGCUGCCCAACAUCACCGACUCGGAUGUCAUCGGCGCGUUCCUCGCCGGCACCACCUGCCGCGACCUGGUGAGCAAGUUGGGUCGCAAGACCCCCGCCAGGGCGAGCGAGCUGAUGGACAUCGCCACCAAGUUCGCCUCUGGCCAGGAGGCGGUCGAGACUAUCUUCCGAAAGGACAAGCAGCCCUAGGGCCGCCCAUCGGAAGAUGCUCCCGAGGCGUCAACUCAGCGCGGCGCCAAGAAGAAAGGCAAGAAGAAGUCGCAAGCGAAACGCGACGCCGCCGACGCGGACCUUGUCGCCGCCGCCGAGUACAAGAACCCUCGGAAGCCCCCCGGAGGUGCCAACCUCUUUGACAAGAUGCUCAAAGAGUCGUGCCCCUAUCAUCAGGGGCCCGUCAAGCACACCCUUGACGAGUGCGUCAUGCUUCGGCGCCACUUCCACAGGGCCGGGCCACCCGCGGAGGGUGGCAGGGCCCGCGACGAUGACAAGAAGGAAGAUCACCAAGCAGGAGAGUUCCUCGAGGUCCGCGACUUCUUCAUGAUCUACGGCGGGCAAGCGGCGAAUGCCUCGGCUCGGCACCGCAAACAAGAGCGCCGGGAGGUCUGCUCGGUGAAGGUGGCGGCGCCAGUCUACCUAGACUGGUCCGACAAGCCCAUCACCUUCGACCAAGCUGACCACCCCGACCAUGUGCCGAGCCCGGGGAAAUACCCGCUCGUCGUCGACCCCGUCAUCGGCGACGUCAGGCUCACCAAGGUCCUUAUGGACGGAGGCAGCAGCCUCAACAUCAUCUACGCCGAGACCCUUGGGCUCAUGCGCGUCGAUCUGUCCUCCGUCCGAGCAGGCGCUGCGCCCUUCCACGGGAUCAUUCCUGGGAAGCGCGUCCAGCCCCUCGGACGGCUCGACCUUCCCGUCUGCUUCGGAACGCCCUCCAACUUCCGAAGGGAGACUCUGACGUUCGAGGUGGUCGGGUUCCGAGGAACCUACCACGCGGUACUGGGAAGGCCAUGCUACGCGAAGUUCAUGGCCGUCCCCAACUACACCUACCUGAAGCUCAAGAUGCCGGGCCCCAAAGGGGUCAUCACCGUCGUCCCCACGUACAAGCACGCGUUCGAAUGCGACGUGGAGUGCGUGGAGUACGCCGAGGCCCUCGCCGAGUCCGAGGCCCUCAUCGCCGACCUGGAAAGCCUCUCCAAAGAGGUGCCAGACGUGAAGCGUCAUGCCGGCAACUUCGAGCCAGUGGAGACGGUCAAGGCCGUCCCCCUCGACCACAGCGGCGACGCCUCCAAGCAGAUCCGGAUCGGCUCCGGGCUCGACCCCAAAUAGGAAGCAGUGCUCGUCGACUUUCUCCGCGCGAACGCCGACGUCUUCGCGUGGAGUCCCUCGGACAUGCCCGGCAUACCGAGGGAUGUCGCCGAGCACUCGCUGGAUAUUCGGGCCGGAGCCCGACCCGUCAAACAGCCUCUGCGCCGAUUCGACGAGGAGAAGCGCAGAGUGAUAGGCGAGGAGAUCCACAAGCUAAUGGCAGCAGGGUUCAUCAAAGAGGUAUUCCAUCCCGAAUGGCUUGCCAACCCCGUGCUUGUGAGAAAGAAAGGGGGGAAAUGGCGGAUGUGUGUAGACUACACUGGUCUCAACAAAGCAUGUCCGAAGGUUCCCUACCCUCUGCCUCGCAUCGAUCAAAUCGUGGAUUCCACUGCUGGGUGCGAAACCCUGUCUUUCCUCGAUGCCUACUCAGGGUAUCAUCAAAUCAGGAUGAAAGAGUCCGACCAGCUCGCGACUUCUUUCAUCACGCCCUUCGGCAUGUACUGCUAUGUCACCAUGCCGUUCGGCUUGAGGAAUGCGGGCGCGACGUAUCAGCGGUGCAUGAACCAUGUGUUCGGCGAACACAUUGGCCGCACGGUCGAGGCCUACGUCGAUGACAUCGUAGUCAAGACGAGGAAAGCUUCCGACCUCCUUUCCGACCUUGAAGUGACAUUCCGAUGUCUCAAGGCGAAAGGCGUCAAGCUCAAUCCCGAGAAGUGUGUCUUCGGGGUGCCCCGAGGCAUGCUCUUGGGGUUCAUCGUCUCCGAACGUGGCAUCGAAGCCAACCCGGAGAAGAUCGCAACCAUCACCAGCAUGGGGCCCAUCAAGGACUUAAAAGGCGUACAGAGGGUCAUGGGAUGUCUCGCGGCUCUGAGCCGCUUCAUCUCACGCCUCGGCGAAAGAGGUCUGCCUCUGUACCGCCUCUUAAGGAAGGCCGAGUGCUUCACUUGGACCCCUGAGGCCGAGGAAGCUCUCGGGAACCUGAAGGCGCUCCUCACAAAGGCGCCUAUCUUGGUGCCUCCAGCUGCCGGAGAAGCCCUCUUGGUCUACGUCGCCGCGACCACUCAGGUGGUUAGCGCCGCGAUUGUGGUCGAGAGGCAAGAAGAGGGGCAUGCAUUGCCCGUUCAGAGGCCAGUUUACUUCGUCAGCGAGGUACUGUCCGAAACCAAGAUCCGCUACCCACAAGUUCAGAAGCUGCUGUAUGCGGUGAUUCUGACACGGCGAAAGUUGCGACACUACUUCGAGUCUCAUCCGGUAACUGUGGUGUCAUCCUUCCCCCUGGGGGAGAUCAUCCAGUGCCGAGAGGCCUCGGGCAGGAUCGCGAAGUGGGCGGUGGAAAUCAUGGGCGAGACAAUCUCGUUCGCCCCUCGGAAGGCCAUCAAGUCCUAGGUCUUGGCGGACUUCGUAGCCGAAUGGGUCGACACCCAGCUACCGACGGCUCCGAUCCAACCGGAGCUCUGGACCAUGUUUUUCGACGGGUCGCUGAUGACGACGGGAGCCGGCGCGGGCCUACUCUUCAUCUCGCCCCUCGGGAAGCACCUACGCUAUGUGCUACGCCUCCAUUUCCCGGCGUCCAACAAUGUGGCUGAGUAUGAGGCUCUGGUCAACGGGUUGCGGAUCGCCAUCGAGCUAGGGGUCCGGCGCCUCGACGCCCGCGGUGACUCGCAGCUCGUCAUCGACCAAGUCAUGAAGAACUCCCACUGCCGCGACCCGAAGAUGGAGGCCUACUGCGAUGAGGUUCGGCGCCUGGAAGACAAGUUCUACGGGCUCGAGCUUAACCACAUCGCUCGGCGCUACGAGACUGCGGACGAGCUGGCUAAAAUAGCCUCGGGGCGAACAACGGUUCCCCCGGACGUCUUCUCCCGGGACCUGCAUCAACCCUCCGUCAAGAUCGACGACACGCCCGAGCCUGAGGCGCCCUCGGCCCAGUCCGAGGUACCCUCGGUCCAGCCCGAGGUACCCUCGGCACAGCCCGAGGCACCCUCAGCUCGGCCCGAGGUACCCUCGGCCUCCGAGGGUGAGGCACUGCGCAUCGAGGAGGAGCGAAGCGGGGCCACGCCUGAUCGAAACUGGCAGACCCCGUACCUGCAAUAUCUCCGCCAAGGAGAGCUACCCCUCGACCGAGCCGAGGCUCGGCGGGUGGCGCGGCGCGCCAAGUCGUUCGUCUUGCUGGGCGAUGAGAAGGAGCUCUACCACCGCAGCCCCUCAGGCAUCCUGCAGCGAUGCAUCUCCGUCACCGAAGGUCAGGAACUCCUGCGAGAGAUACACUCGGGGGCUUGCGGCCAUCACGCAGCGCCUCGAGCCCUUGUCGGGAAUGCUUCUACUGGCCAACGGCGGUGGCUGACGCCACUAGAAUUGUCCGCACCUGCGAAGGGUGCCAAUUCUAUGCGAAGCAGACCCACCUGCCCGCUCAGGCUCUACAGACGAUACCCAUCACCUGGCCUUUUGCCGUGUGGGGUCUGGACCUCGUCGGUCCUUUGCAGAAGGCGCCCGGGGGCUACACGCACCUGCUGGUCGCCAUCGACAAAUUCUCCAAGUGGAUCAAGGUCCGACCUCCGAACAGCAUCAGGUCCGAGCAGGCGGUGGCGUUCUUCACCAAUAUCAUCCAUCGCUUCGGGGUCCCGAACUCCAUCAUCACCGACAACGACACCCAGUUCACCGGCAGAAAGUUCUUGGACUUCUGCGAGGAUCACCACAUCCGGGUGGACUGGGCCGCCGUGGCUUAUCCCAUGUCGAAUGGGCAAGUAGAGCGUGCCAACGGCAUGAUUCCACAAGGGCUCAAGCCUCGGAUUUACAACGACCUCAACAAGUUCGGCAAGAGAUGGAUGAAGGAACUCCCCUCGGUGGUCUGGAGCCUGAGGACGACGCCGAGCCGAGCAACGGGUUUCACGCCGUUCUUCCUAGUCUACGGGGCCGAGGCCGUCUUGCCCACAGACCUGGAAUACGGCUCCCCGAGGACGAGGGCCUACAGCGAUCAAAGCAACCAAGCUAGCCGAGAAGACUCGCUGGACCAGCUGGAGGAGGCUCGGGACAAGGCCUUACUACACUCGGCGCGGUACCAGCAGUCCCUGCGACGCUACCACGCCCGAGGGGUCCGGCCCCGAGACCUCCAGGUGGGCGACCUGGUGCUUCGGCUGCGACAAGAUGCCCGAGGGAGGCACAAGCUCACGCCUCCCUGGGAGGGGCCAUUCGUCAUCGCCAAAGUUCUGAAGCCCGGAACGUACAAGCUGGCCAACAGUCAAGGCGAGGUCUACGACAACGCUUGGAACAUCCAACAGCUACGUCGCUUCUACCCUUAAGAUGUUUUCGAGUUGUUCAUAUACCUCGCACCCACGCAAAGUUUAGUCAUCAAGGAAGGGUCGGCCUCGCCUCGGCAAAGCCCGACCCUCCCUCGGGGGCUAAAAGGGGGGGAACCCCCUCUGCGUUGAAAUUUUCCUCGAAAAAAGAUCUCUUCUGCCAGAAUAUCUUUCGUGCUUUUUGACUGCUUCGAAAAGUGGAUGCUGAAAACGACGGAGUACGUAAGCAGCCAAGGCUGACCGAGUCGAGGGACUCCUACGCCUCCGGGAUACGGAUACCUCACUCAUCACCUUCUGCGAUAAGUAACUCGCGUUCGGAUAAAGUGAUUCCGCGGACCGAACAAGUCUUCACGUUCGGAAGCUCUUCUGCCGAAGCGAUCCUUCGAGCCUUCUCGACUGAGUCGGUGACAGAGCCUCAUGGACGGGUGAGAGUGCGCGUAAGCGGCAAGGCCGACCGAGCCGAGGGACUCCCACGCCUCCGGGAUACGGAUACCUCACUCAUCACCUUCCGCGAGAAGCAACUCUCGCUCGCACAAACAACCCUGUUACCGACAAAAAAGUCCAGAUACUCGAAACAAGAGGAAAAGAGACGCAGCUUUACAACACAGUGAGGGUGUGUGUUCUGGCCUCGGCGGCCGCAGAAGGCACACGCUACAAGACAAUCUGAUCCUGCAGGCUCGGGUCUUGACGCUGGAAGGGGGCAGCAGCACCCUCGGCAUCGAUGACACCUUUGGCAAGGUUCGACCUGGCCUCGGACGGCGACGCGGUCCGAAGAUCUCCACUCCGAAGGACGACGUCAUCACCACGCCCGGGCCAUCGCCGCCAGGGUCUUCUCCGGGAAUCCAGCCCGAGCAGGCGGCUCGGCCGGUCACCCCUGGGGCCUCGGCCAACCAUCUUCCAAGGGCGCCAGCCUGACCCGAGGCCUCGGCUGGUCAACUCCGGCGUUGGUCCCGCUAACGGACGACCCGGCUAGGCUCCGGCCAACCAGGUUUCAUUUUUGAGCCAACUCUGCCCCUGUUCGUGCUGAUAUCGCUACCCCUGGCCUCGGCUCAUCGAAGAGCGGCCAAGGGGUCCCUUUAACUAAGCCUGAGGAACCUCGGACAACAAGGCCGACCGAGCCGAGGGACUCCUACGCCUCCGGGAUACGGAUAUCUCACUCGUCACCUUGACACGGGGCGACUCACGCUUGGUGAAGCGGUUCAGACAACCAACAGGCGAGUCUUAGUGCUCGAAAAUGAGGAAAAAACACGGCUCCAUGCCAAAAUUACAUACAUGUUCAGGCCUCGACAGCCAUAAUGAACAAAAACACUGGCAUUCAAAGUGCCAUUACAAACGGAACUCCGGUUCCCCCUCCGCAGGUACGAACAACCCCACUCCAUGGGGGAGGGCCUGCGGAGCAACAGAAGACCGACGAACGGCGCGCCGUCACCUGCUCCAGCAGCAGCGACGACGACGACUUCUGCUCCGGGGGGCCGAACAGCGGCAGCACUGACCUCAGGGCGGGUGCUGCUGCCAGGAGGCCCCCGCCCAUGCCCAAACUUGUGAGGCAAGGACGGGCAGAAGGCCGUAGAGUUGGAGGUCGGUCCGUGGGCGGCCCUGGCUAUCUCGUCGGCGGAAGAACCUCUUCCAGCUGCCGUGGCAGACGUCGGCGCCGCGAGCGGCUCCGAAGCCACUCGCGUCCGAGAGCCAGGCACGGUGCAGCUGCCGACGCCACGGACGACGACCGCCCUUCCCUCCGAUCACUGAGUGAAGGAGCGGGCCACCGCCCAUGCAGGGGCCGACCCCAACUCGGCACACUCCCCUCCCCAGCCCUGGUGAUGAAAAUCCUUGAGGCUGAGGGAGGGGCAGAGGCUGCAGCCCGGCUCGCUUUCCCCCACCAUCAAGCUGGAGGUCACCAUCUUGGGUGACCGCCGGCGGAGGGGUGCAGCCGGGCUGCAUGAUGAAAAUCCUUGAAGCCGAACGAUGGCUGAAAGGUACCAACUCCCACGGAGUUGCGUUUCUCCAACGAUGAGGCGGAAAGACGGCGGGUAUCCCCCAUCCGGGGGCUUGGAAGGUGGAAAGACACGAUGCAUGAGGGAGCGCGAAAACAUGGUCUACUUCCAAGGGGGUCACCCUCCUUUUAAAGGCGACUAUCCCUACCUGCGUCCCCAGCCGUCACGGGCUGAGUCUUCUCCAACACGCUCCAAGGCCCUCCCCUGCGGCGCGGGGGCUGGGUCCCGCAUGUCAUGCAAGCCGGCUCAGAGCAGAAGAAGCCAAACCGCCGCGCGCGGUGCGCACGACCGCCCAGCGGUUACAAGUGACCCUCCACUUUUGCCCAGACCAACGGGCGAAAGGGGCGGGCAGCCAUGCAGGCGGCAUGCAACCGCGCCAAGUGGGCGCGCUUCUUCGACUCCCGACACGCCCAGCAUGGAGGCCCAGGCCCACGCGUCACGCAACCGGCGCGCCGGAUGCUUCAUGCAAGCAACUGCACCGCCACUUGCGCCACCACCGCGCCUCCUCGAUUGCAGAACCAAUACCGCGACUCGAGGCGACCCAGCGCACGACCCAGCAGCGCCAGCCUGGCGCGGCGGUCAAUGCGGUCAAAAAUGGGUCGGCAGUAAUGACGGUGGCAGGCGGGCGGGAGCAGCGGUCACGUCGUCGGCCAAGCUCACGUCCCAUCCGGGGGCAGCAAGAGAACCCCCUCUCACGGCGUGAAGACAACGCGCCCGUGAUCCGUUCCUCGAACGGCUCGCGCACGCGCAACGGCCGCCCCGCCAACCACUCGCCCCGUCGCAUUAAACUCCGCGGCGGGACAGGCGGCGCUUCUGGCAGGAGAAGCGGGCGACGCUUCGCCUUCGCCGUAAUGACCGCGCCAAAAAAGGUACGCCGCGUCGUUCGAUUUCGUAUCCUUUUCCUUUUUUCCUCUUUCUCUCUCUCUCUUGCAACAGGGACCGGGAAAGGGGGAUACCCCGAAAAGGAUCCUUCCCCGUGAAGGAACCAGGCUCCGAGCCUCCCUACUGAUCAGAGGUUCGAAGGCUGGCCCCCCGAAGGGUUCGACAGCCGCCUCAGAUCGCGUGGGCCCUACACCCACUACUGGUCAGAGGUUCAAAGGCCGGCCCCCCGAAGGGUUCCACGGCCGCCUCAGGCUACUCGGGCUCCGCGCCCAUUACUGAUCAGGGGUUCAAAGGCUGGCCCCCGAAGGGUUCACAGCCGCCUCAGACACCGAGCGAGGGAUGACCAUGGGUACGUUCGAUACAUAACCAAGGCUCGGGCUGCGCUCCCGAGGUACCCUAGGACAUUUCCGAGACCAGCGGGAGCGAUCUUGUAACGGAAUCCCAUCAGAGGGAGGCAUCGAGCCCUCGGACCCCGUCGCCAGGGGACCGGGUCCGGCAGAUCACCCGCAGGUACUUUUGGGCGUGCCUCUGGGCCCCUAGCCGACCCCUAACGAACGGGGCACGGACGUCCACUCGGAUUACCCGCUUGCAGCUCACCGGAGACACCAUGUUCGGCGCCCAUCGAGGGCAACGUGGCGCUUUCCCCCCUCCUCCUUGCGGAAAGGCGACGCAGGGGCGUAUGUAAAAAAGCCGAGUCUGUCCCUGAUCGCCCUCUCGCCCUGUGCAGAGGCUCGGGGGCUGCUCUCGCAAACCCGGCUCCGGCCGAACCGUUGACAGCGUCAACAUACCAGCCCGAGAACUUGGGACCCGACCGUACACCCGGGCUACGGCCAGCUCGCAUGAGGGAACAACCAGACCAGCCGAAGCAUUACGCGAGGCAUUAAGACCUCGAAGGAGUGAAACCACUCCUCCGAGGCCUCGGGGGCUACACCCGGCGGGUGCGCUCGCGCGCACCCACCGGAACAAAAUGCAACCGAGAAAGGCUGGUCCCCUUGCAAAAAAGUGCGACGAAAGCCUCCAAGCGAGUGCUAACACUCCCUUCGAGGCUCGGGGGCUACUGUCGGGGACCAUAAUUAGGGGUACCCUCAAGACUCCUAAUUCUCAGCUGGUAACCCCCAUCAGCAUAAAGCUGCUAAGGCCUGAUGGUUGCGAUUAAGUCAGGGAUCAGUCCAUUCGAGCGACUCGAUCACGCCUCGCCCGAGCCUAGCCUCGGACAAGGGCAGCCGACCCCGGAGGAUUUCCGUCUCGCCCGAGGCCCCCCUCCGAUGGCGAACAUAUCUCCGGCUCGCCCGAGGCCCUGCCUUCGCUAAGAAGCAACCCUGACUAAAUUGCCGCACCGACCGACCAAAUCGCAGGAGCAUUUAACGCAAAGGUGGCCUGACACCUUUAUCCUGACGCACGCCCCGCGGCAGAGCCGAAGUGACCGCCAUCACUUCGCCGCUCCACUGACCGGCCUGACAGAAGGACAGCGCCGCCUGCGCCACUCCGACUGCAGUGUCACCUGACAGAGUGAGACUGACAGGCAGUCAGGCCCUGCCAAAGGCACCAUAGGAAACUCCGCUCCGCCCGACCCAGGGCUCGGACUCGGGCUAAGCCCCAGAAGACGGCGAACUCCGCUCCGCCCGACCCAGGGCUCGGACUCGGGCUAAGCCCCGGAAGACGGCGAACUCCGCUCCGCCCGACCCAGGGCUCGGACUCGGGCUAAGCCCCGGAAGACGGCGAACUCCGCUCCGCCCGACCCAGGGCUCGGACUCGGGCUAAGUCCCGGAAGACGGCGAACUCCGCUCCGCCCGACCCAGGGCUCGGACUCGGGCUCAGCCCCAGAAGACGACGAACUCCGCUUCGCCCGACCCCAGGGCUCGGACUCCGUCCUGGCCUCUGCCGACGACCUCCGCCUCGCCCGACCCAGGGGCUCGGACUCGGCCUCGACCAUGGAAGACAGACUCGACCUCGGCUUCGGAGGAGCCUCCACAUCGCCCAACCUAGGGCGCAGGCUAGCCACGUCAACAGGAGGCGCCAUCAUCACCCUACCCCGAGCUGACUCGGGCCGCAGGGAACAAGACCGGUGUCCCAUCUGGCUAGCUCCGCCAGAUAGGCAAUGAUGGCGCCCCGCAUGCUCUGUGACGACGGCGGCUCUCAGCCCCCUUACGGAAGCAAGAGGACGUCAGCAAGGAUCCAACCACUCCGACAGCUGUCCCUCCGCCAGGCUCCAUCGCUCCUCCGACGGCCACGACAUCACACCAGCUGGGUGCCAAAAUCUCUCCGGCUGCCACAUCGGCAUGUACUUAGGGCGCUAGCUCUCCCCCGCUAGACACGUAGCACUCUGCUACACCCCCCAUUGUACACCUGGAUCCUCUCCUUACGCCUAUAAAAGGAAGGACCAGGGCCCUCUUAGAGAGGGUUGGCCGCACGGGGACGAGGACGAGACAGGCGCUCUCUUGGGGCCGCUCGCUUCCCUCUCCCGCGUGGACGCUUGUAACCCCCUACUGCAAGCGCACCCGACCUGGGCGCGGGACGAACACGAAGGCCGCGGGAUUCCCACCUCUCUCACGCCGGUCUCCGGCCGCCUCGCUUCUCCCCCUUCGCGCUCGCCCUCGCGCUCGACCCAUCUGGGCUGGGGCACGCGGCAACACUCACUCGUCGGCCCAAGGGACCCCCCCGGUCUCGGAACGCCGACAAUACUCGUAUUUGAAUGUGUUAUCAUUAUUUGAGUCUUGUGUUUUGUAAUUGUAAGAAUUACUGUAAAGUGUAUUAUAUAUCAAAGAAUUUAAACUUUUUCAGGUUACUCUUUUCCACUUUGAGGAUGAACCCCGCUCUGGUGUUUGUGAAGUUAUAUCCACCUUAAGAGAGAAAGCUAAACUUCGCAUUAUGAUGCUAACUGGAGACCAUGAAUCAAGUGCCCAGAGAGUUGCUAAAGCUGUUUGUAUUGAAGAAGUCCACUUCUCUUUAAAGCCAGAGGAUAAAUUAAAUAAAGUGAAAGCAGUUUCAAGGGAAGGAGGUACUUAUACCUGUGAUAUGUAUGCCUAUCAAAAGUCAGCUAUAUGAUUAUAUCAUGGUUUUAAGUUUUACAUAGUCUUUACUCCUGCAACGUGGUAGCCACAGUUGCUUUCCAAGUGACUCCUAUGUACUUCCUCACCACAUGACUUGUUCUAACAAAGUCAUUGGUAGCUUUCUUCAUAGUUUUCACUUCUUCUCAUGCUGCAUGAAUCUAUCAAUUCCAACGUUUUUGUUUCUACUUCAGUUUAUUUUUUGAACAUAAGCAACCUGCCAGCUACAUAAUCCUACCGUUUGUUCAUGACUAAAUGUUCCUUGUGUACAAUUAAACUGAAAAAUUGAACGUUGUGUACUUUUUAUGAGAUUUACUGUCCAUCAUAUAAACUUGCACUUGAAGCUAUACAUGAUUACUUUUUGUUGUGCUCACUUCCCUGGAUAUUAUUCAUUAUUUACCUUUUUGUUUGUUCCAGGUGGAGGUUUAAUAAUGGUCGGUGAUGGUAUAAAUGAUGCACCAGCCCUUGCAGCCGCAACAGUUGGAAUGGUUCUAGCCCAACGUGCCAGUGCAACUGCAGUGGCUGUUGCAGAUGUUCUGCUGUUGCAGGAUAAUAUUUGUGGGGUGCCAUUCUGCAUUGCUAAGGCUCGUCAAACAACUUCAUUGGUACGGUCUUUUGUUUUUGUUUGCAUUGUGUGGCACUUUAGCUUCAGAUGCAGUAUUACUGUUUCUUACACUUUUAGGUUCAUCCUUACAGGUCAAACAAAGUGUAGCUCUGGCCUUAACUUGUAUUGUUUUUGCUGCGCUUCCUUCUGUCCUGGGAUUUCUUCCUCUUUGGUUGACUGUAAGUUCCUUUUAAUGACUUAGCUACGCACCUGUGUUUGUGUAACAAGGAAAUUAAACAAAUUGUUCUGGUGCCCUGAACCCUAUUUGUCAUUUGUGACAUGCUGAAUUACUGUCUCGGUUCGGGUUUAUAAGGCGUGCCUGCAUGCAUAUAAAGAUUCGAACUUCACAAUUUUUUACCAAUAAUGUGGCCAAGAAUUUUCAACAAUUGUAAUACAGUUUUUGAUAUGUUUAGAUUUGUAAUCAAUUGUACUAUCUAAUAAUCACUAUUCACUACUAGUUUAUAAUCAUAAAAAAAUAUAAUAUAAAAUGUGUAAAUGGUUAAAAUGUAACUUGGGAGACCAGGCAUGUGAAACUAUGCCUUUAUAAAGUGAACCGAAGGGAGCAGUAAAUUGUAGAGUUGGAUAAAUGCAAUCAUACAGAUAUGCCUUGGUAGCAUAAAACAGAUUGGUACCUUCACUACUCAGUAGUCCUGUUACCAUGUGAUUCACAUACAUAAACCUUUCUUUGGUGUCCUUAUUCCUACACCUGCUACAAUUUUCAGGUACUUCUUCACGAAGGAGGAACCCUUCUAGUGUGCUUGAACUCGAUACGAGCCCUGAACACUCCGACAUGGUCCUUGGUAGAUGACAUCCGGAAGCUCGUCGAUAGCUUAAGGAAUUAUUUCCCAUCCAAGUUCAACAGCUCUCCCUCAAGCUACACCGCAAACACUGCUCCCUUGUAGAUUACCAUGUCCAGCAACGGCCGUCUUUGGUUAACCUUGUUGUUUCUGUGGCACCGUUUGAAUUUAGGCGAGGGGUUCUAACCUAAUUUUGUAGGCGCCCGCUGUACUCUUUUCACCACCAUGUAAAGAAAGAAACUUGGCUUGAGGUUGAGCUGAAGGUCAAAGGACAGUGAUGAAACAUCCAGUUACGACGUGGCGCAGAAUCAACGUCUGUGUCUGUUGGGCCCGUUCGUUAUGUGGAAUACAAUACAUACAGGUGCUAUACGACUGUUGAGAUCAGGGAAGUCUAAUCGCCUGUUUCUUGCUUGCAGAAGCUAGGCUCUGCUGCUGAGAUUGAUUGAUUGGUUUAUACUCGUUGAUUGUCCGCUUGCCCAGUCAGCAUCCUCCGUCAGAAACACGUGUCUUGUAACUCCAUACAAGAUUAUCCUCUGGGAUGCACAAGUUGCAGUGCCACUGCACACAGGCUAUAUGCAUCGGUCGAUUACAACCGCGAGCUCAAAACUUGAUUAUUUUGAAACACUAAAGUGUCGUGCAGGGCACAAUACGAUUCUAUCUUUUGCUUCAUCAGAAAAAAAAUCUGGGACGAAAGGAUUGGAACCUCCGAGUAAUGGGAUCAAAACCUGCUGCCUUACCACUUGGCCACGUAAUAAACACUAUUAUUUUUAUAUAUUAUUCGUCAAUCCCACUUCAAUUACUAAAAAACGAGGGAUAUUUUCUUGCUAGGAUUCUAGACAUGCAGAUAAUAUAGAAUCCAAAAAAUACAUUGAUCAUUACAUGGAAUUCUAUUAAGAUAUUAUAUGAAAGUCGAAUUUCUUCCAUUCUCAUUUGAGAAUGCGAAUACAAGGAGGUAUUUUGUGUUUGGGAAAGUCCGAAGAAAAAAGGAUUUGGAAUAUACCUUUUCUUUUGCUUUUUCCCUUAUAAAAAUAACUCAAUCAAAAUCCAAUUAUCUACUCUACAAGAAUGAAAUGCUUGUUAUGCCUAAUAU
rnacentral:lncRNA from 1 species